UUUUAUUAAGGCUGUCCUGGUGGACUGGUAAAUGUAAAGUGCUAUAUCACUGAUUUAUAUUUCCCUGACUACUAAUAAUUCAACAUUUUUCACAUACUUAUUAGUGAUUUUAAAUAUGCACUUUGAAGAAAUGGCUCUUCAGAUCAUUUUCCCAACUUUUCAUAGAGGUAUUUAUCUUCUUGAUAUUAUCUUCUAGGUAAGUGUUUAUACAUAUUGGAUGCAAAUCCCUUCUUUUAUAUAUGACUUGAAAACAUUUUGUUAUUCUUCAGUUUGUUAUUAUUUUUACUUUUACUUUUAGUAUUAGCAUACUAUGCCUUUCUCUAUUUCUUUCCUUAAAAAAAAUAAUGAGUAGUUUUAGUUUACAGGAAAAAAAUUAGUAGAACUUACAGAGAGUUUCAAUAUACUCCCUUCCCCCAUUGCAGUAUUAUUAAUGCCUUGUAUUAGUGUGGUUCUUUUGUUAUAAUUGAUGACCCAAUAUUGAAGCAUUAUUUUUACCUAAAGUAUAUAGUUUACAUUAGAAUUCACUCUGCAUUUUAUAGUUCUAUAGAUUCAGAAAAAAUGUAGUCAUGAAUAUUCCAUUUCCAUAAGAUAAGUUUAACUUCUUUUAAUAUUCCUGUGUUUCAACUACUAAUUUGUCUUUCCUUUUUCUACCUCUGCACCACGGAGAACAACUGCUUGUUUUCUAUCUCUAUAACUUUGUUCUUUUAGACUUUCAUAUAAUUUGAAAUAUAUGGAACUAUAUACUAUGCAAUUUUCUUCAAUUGGCCUCUUUUGUUUAGCAAUAUGUAUUAACAUUCCUUUUUGUCUUUGCAUGACUUGGUAGUUGGUUUCUUUACAUCUGUGAACAAUAUUUAAUUACACAGAAUCAUCACGAUUAUUUCAUCCAUUCACCUACUGAAGAAGAUUUUGGUUUCUUUAAAGUUUUACUAAUUAUGAAUAAAGCUGCUAUAAAUAUUCCUGUGUAGGUUUUGGUAUGCACAAGUUUUCAAUCCAUUUGGGUGAAUAUCUAGGAGUGAGGUUAUUAGAUCAUAUGCUUACAUUAUGUUUAAUUUUGAAUAUGUGGAAUAUAUUUUCAAAUUUCUUAUUAGUGUCCUUUGAAGCACAAACUAUUUUAACUCUGAUGGAGUUCAAGUUACCCAUUUCAUUUCUUUUGCUAUUUAUGCUUUAUAUCUUCUAUCUAAGAAGUCAUUAUGGACUCUCAGGUAACAAAAAGUAUGCCAUGUUUUACUUUUAGAGAUUCCUAGUUUCGGUUCUUACAAUUAGGCUUAUGUUCAGUUUUGGAAUAAUUUUUACAAAAAAAAAAUAUCACUUGACCAAACUUGUCAGUAUAGGUUUUAAGUUAAUGAAGGCACUAGAUACCAUAAUAUUCCUCCAAAGACUGGUUUAUGGUUUAUUUUGCUGGCUUGUUUUAAUGACAAUUAAUUCGAAUGGGUUGGAACUACAAAGGCUGUUAAGUGUCAUUUCAAACAUAAAGUCAGUUCCUUCAUCUUUAUCAGUGAUGCUUGGCUUCUACUCACCUAUGCAAGUUUCAGGGAAACGAGGGUCCUCCCUGCCCCUGGCUUGCUCUUCUCUGGUAUUCCCUCACCACAUUGUCAGCAGUAUUAUAACCUAGAACUCUGUCAAUUUAUUAGAGCAAAUUAACAGUAAGAGAUAAUAAGGUGGUAACUUCUACAUAAGAAUUUACAUUAUUUGGGAGAAAAAGAGGGAGGAGAAAUGCAAAAUUGUUUCUUUGCAUUUCAAACUCUAACUGAUCUUCCUUUUCUGAAUUAUUGUAACUUUUAAUUUGCACCAUAAUUAUGUUUUGUUUAAGUACCUAAAGGAAUUAAGCUUUAUUUACACAACCCCUGCCUCUCCACCUGCCACUGUUGAGGAAACCAUUUAAAUAAGGGUUAUCCAAUUUGAUAAUUGUCUAAUGUAAUUGCCUAAAUUAGCUGGAAGGAGAUGCUGCAUACUGAUGUGUAGUCGGUAACUGUCCAAUGGAGAAAAUUAUGUCGAGUUGCCCUCUUGCUAAGAACCAUGCUUGUUCUUGACAAAAUCUGGAAGAGGAGUGUAGCUUUCAAAUGGCUAGAAUUAGAAUAAAACUGUAAACUACAAGAUUGGUAGAUUUUACAGAAUAGCAAAGGGGAAACAUUCCUGAGUGGGAAAGGUUUCCAUACUUACUAGACUUGACUUCAUUCCAAAGUUCUUUGUAAAUUUGAACCAAAGUAAGCAAAGCUUUUGUGUAGACAUGACUUUUGUUUUGCAAUUCUGCAAUUUAGAAAUAAUAGGGCAGACUGACAGUCUUCUAUACUUGGAAAUAAUAAACAAAUUCAGAUGAAAACACACCCAAAAUGCAGGGAAAUAGACAAGGUAUGUUCAGUUCCUUCAAAGAAUGACUUUGGAAAACAUAAAGGAGUCUGUGCAUAGUGUCGAUUUCAAGGAUCACAGAAAGUAGUACAGACCUUGAAAAAAAUCUUUCAAUUUAAAGCACAGUAAAACACAUUUGUGUGUGUGUGGUGUGUGUUUGUGUGUGUGUGUGAUGUUGAGAAUGAAAACCAGAGCUACAUUAUGUAUAACAUUUAUGAUUCUUGUGUGCAUAUGUGUGUUCAUGAACAAACAGAUAUUCAAGCUCACUGUUUUAGUUAAUCCAAGAUGGUAUUUUACAUGUGAAUUUUGUGUUUAUUUAAAAAAUAAAUAAAUAAAUAGUGCUUGCUAAUUUAUGGCAUCCUAAGAUAAACACUAGGAAAGCCCAGUUUCCCAAGUAUAUUUCACUUAACAUUGGUGCUAGACAUCAAACACACAAACACACACACACACACAGAGUACUCUAAUAAUAGAUACAAUAAUAGAUAACUGUCUUCCAGAAAUGCUGUAUAUUUUAUUUAUCUCUUGGAUAUUUGCAAUGAUCAAGAAUAUAUGAAUAUAUGAAAAAUACUGAGAGAUCUGGUACCAAAGAAAGUUAUUGAGAGUUUUCUUUCUUUUCUUCUUUUUCCCUCCUUCCCUCCCUUCCUUCCUUUCUUUUUCUUUUCAGUGUUUUUUUUUUUUUUAGUAUCUUCAAUUUCCUGCCCAUAUAAUGUCUAUUAACAUAGAUACAACCUCUGGGACAUUUUCCAGGAGAAUAGAUACAAAGAUACAAAAAAUAUUUAUAUAAAUCCAAAUUUAACGUAUUCCCACUGACUACCACAUUCAAGACUCUAGUGCUGAAAGCUGAUAAGCCCAAGAACAGUGGGUAAAUCCCACCUGUACCUCCAUAGACUCAACGUGAUGCAUCCAAAAAGCACAUUUCUGACAAUCUUAGAAGAGGUGCCCAAACCAACCAACCAACAAACAAACAAACAAACAAAAAGUUGAAUAUUCAUUGUAAUUCCUCAAAAAAUACAAAUAGGAUAUUUCUUUUAUGGGACAAAAUUAACGUCUUAAAAAAUCCAUCUCCCUUCAUCCCUGCAAAGCCAACUCAUGAAUCAAGACAGGUCAUCUCUUUUUCAGGACCCAGUCACCUGCUUUUGCAGAACUCCCAUGAAUCUCCCCAAACCCUGGAAAGCCAGAUCCAGCCUGGAUCUUUCCUCACAACCGCUCUCACCUUGGCUGGAUCUCCUCCUUUCUGAAUUUUCCAGUGAAUCCAUCUCAACUCCUCCCUGGAAUUCUGUCCGGGCUGUUUUACCCAUUUCUUCUUCUGCACAGUCCCGCCAACUCAUGCGAAUAAGUGAGGCAGGGGAUUGAAGAGAGAGUUGAGGUGAAGGCUGUGAUGACGGAGACAUUUUGCCCUCAAUCCAAGCAAGCCUCGACUACUUUUAAAUCACUUUUUGAAUUAUGACUUGAGAUACUAAGAAUCUGUUUCAAUUAUGUGAAAAAUAAUAAAGAUAUGUUUUUAAAAAUAGGGUUUCAAAAGAAACAAAAAUAAUCCAAAUAAUUCUUGUUGUAGAUCUAAUUGUGACAGGUAAAGUAAAUGUCAAAGUAAGAAAUACUUGCAUAUUUCAUCUUUCAAAACAUCAGCUGAGCAUCAACUACUGAGAGAACAGAUGGCAUUGAAUAAAUUCAGUCCAAGUACCCUUAGAAGUUUUGUUACUGAAGGUAGAUUUCUUAAACAAGUUAUCUCAUGCUGAUGAUCAGGAGCUCCAAAUCAGUGGUCACCCAGAUCUUGAUUGAUUUGUUUUACAAACAAUUGGUGACAGUUGAUAGCUAAUGAAGUAGGGGUUCCCUUGAAUGUAUAUUGAGAUUUUCUUCUAAAGUCUUUUACAAUACAUCUAUGUUUCACUCAGAGUAAAAAUAUCUUUCAUGGCUAUCUGACUGUAAUGUAUUUUAGCAUACAAAAGAGAAAAAUACUGUUUCAAUACUGAUGGAAAGACAUGAGCCCUUUGCAUCUCAUCAGAAUUAUAUGUAGUGAUUUAUUUUUCUGUUUGAUAAAAAAAACACACCAAGGGUAUGUGUGCACAUGCAUGUGUGUUCACAUGCUUAAGUGCUUGCACAUUUGGUUAUUUUCUUUGAUUGUACUGCCUUGGAAUGCCCAAUUUCAUGGGGGUUUGCAUUGCUGUAGGUUCUUGAAAUUAGGCAGUGUCAGAGAGGUGACAGUAAUGCAUAUCAUCAGAGCUUGAUGCAUUUUUAUAUGUUCUGCUUCCUUCAUUAAGUCUCAGUAUAAUUUUUCCAAAUUAAGAAGUUAAAAAAUAUCUUAAGUGUGAUAGUAUUUUAAGAAGGCAAUGUUAGCAAUGUUACUUGUGAUGACAUAUAUCAAGGCUCUAUGAAUUUCAGCAGGUAAUUUCAAAUAUUGUUUCCUUCUCUUGGUAAUGUAGUUAUUAAAUUAGCAAGUUACCAAAAGGGUGCUCCACACCCAAACUAACAAUUCACAUCAUAUGGGAUAAUCCUCCAGGGAUACAUAGCAUUGCAUCAAUUCACCCCUAAUAUCUACUCUGCUUCCCCUGACUCCUUUGGGACUUGUAGUGACUAUCAAUAUUGUCAAAUAGAAGAAAAAAUCACAAAGAAAUUGAGGGAGUAAUAUUGGUUUGGGCAUAAGGAAUCUGUAGUUACUAAGUUAUCCUACAGUUAAGAUUACUUAUCAGUUCAUGUUUCUACAAUAGAAAUACCACAGACUGGGUUACUUAUAUAAUGAACAUUUCUUUUCUCAUAGGCCUGGAUACUGAGAAUUCCAGGAUCAAGGUCCUGGUACAUUCAGUGUCUAAAAAGAUGUGCAUCAGGGUUGUAGGCUGAGGCAGGGGUUGCCAUCAUUGGCUAUUAAUUUUGUUUUGUUUUGUUUUGUUUUUAUCAUCAUUGUCUUAGUUGUUAUAACUCUAUUAUUCUUAUAUAGGAAGCUUUUUGGCAUUGCAGACCCUAUUCAAACAUAUUUAUGAGUAAAGAAAUGAUAAUCAUAAAUCAAAAUUCCUGAUUAAAUACAGGAGCGAUCUUUGCAUGGAUGUGAAAUAUUUUCUGUUCAUGAACAUGAACUGACCUCUAGAACUUAGAUUUCUUCUUCCCACUUAUUACCUAGAUAACAUAAAUAUUCCAUAAUAACCAAUAAGAUACAUUAAAUUUCAUAUCUUAAAAUAUCCCAUAGUCUCCCUCAGUAUUAAACCAAUAUUUAAAUAUAUUUUUAAAUUAUUUUAAUUUUUUAAUUAGUUAUGCAUGACAGUGUAAUGCACUUAUGCACUUUUAUAUAUCAUACAUAGAUGGGAUAUAACUUCUUAUUUUUCUGAGAAUACAUGUUAUAGAAUCAUAUUGGUCAUGCAGUCACAUAUAUACAUAAAGUAAUAAUGUCUGUUUUAUUCUACUAUCUUUCCUAUCCCCACAUCCCAUCCCCUCCCCUCCCUUUACUUCCCUCUACCUAAUCUAAGGUACUGCUAUUCUUCCCUAGUGCCCCUGGCCUUAUUGUGAAGUAGCAUCUGAAUAUUAGAGAAAAUGGCCUUUGGAUUUUGGGGAUUGGCUUAUUUCACUUAGCAUGAUAUUCUCCAACUCCAUACAUUAAUGGAAAAUCCCAUAAUUUCACUCUUCUUUCAUAAUUUCACUCUUCUUUAAAGCUGAGUAAUAUUCCAUUGAGUAUAUAUGCCACAUUUUCUUUAUGCAUUCAGAUAUUGAAGGACACCUACAUUGGUUCCAUAGUUUAGCGAUUGUGAAUUCAGCUGCUGUAAACAUUGAUGUGGCUAUAUUACUAUAGUAUGAUGAUUUUAAGUCAUUUAGGUAUAAACCAAAGAGUGGGAUAGCUGGGUCAAAUGGUGGCUCCAUUUCAAGUUUUCUGAGGAAUAUCCAUACUGCUUUCCAUAGUGUUUGUACCAAUUUGCAGUCCCACCAGCAAUGUACGAGAGUACCUUUUUCCUCACAUCCUCACCGACAUUUAUUGUUGCCUGUGUUCUUGAUGAUUGUAAUUCUGACAGGAGUGAGAUGAAAUCUUAAUGUAGUUUUUAUUUGCAUUUUUCUAAUUGCUAGAGAUGUUGAACACCUUUUCAUAUAUUUGUUGAUUCACUUGUGUAUCUUCUGUGAAGCGUCUGUUCGGUUCCUUAGCCCAUUUAUUGAUUGGGUUAUUUAUUUUUUUGGUGUUAAGUUUUUUGAGUUCCUUAUAUAUCUGAGAAAUUAAUGCUUUAUCAGACAUUCAUGUGCUAAAGAUUUUUCUCCCAAUCUGUAGGCUCUUGCCUUACAUUAUUGAUUAUUUCCUUUACUGAGGAAAAGCUUUUUAAUAUGAAUCCAUCCCAUUUAUUGAUUCUUGAUUUUACUUCUUGCACUUUAGGAGUCUUGUAAGGAAGUUAGAUUCUAGGUCAACACGGUGAAGAUUUGAGCCUAUCUUUUCUUCUAUUAGAUUCAAGGUCUCUGUUCUAGUGCCUAAGUCUUUGAUCCACUUUGAGUUGUUUUUCUGCAGGGUGAGAGAUAGAGGUUUAAUUUCAUUAUGCUCCAUAUGGAUUUCCAGUUUGGGCAGCAACAUGUGUUGAAUACUCUGUCUUUUCUCCAGUGAAUGUUUUUGGCACCUUUGUCUAGUAUGACAUGAUUGUAUUUAUGUGGGUUUGUCUCUGUGUCCUCUAUUCUAUAUAGUUGGUCUACAAGUCUAUUUUGGUGCCAAUACCAAGCUUACUAUAGCUCUGUAGUGUAGUUUAAGGUCCAGUAUAGUGAUACUUUCUGCUUAAUUUUUCUUUAUAAGAAUUGCCUUAGCUAUUCUGGGUCUCUUAUUUUUCCAAAUAAAUUUUAUGAUUGCUUUUUCUGUUUCUAUGAAGAUGUCAUUGGGAUUUUAAUAGGAAUUGCAUUAAAUCUAUAGAAUUAUUUUAGUAGUAGGGCCAUUUAAACAAUUUUAAUUCUGUCUAUUCAGGAGCAUGGGAGAAUGGGAGAUCUUUCCAUCUUCCCAGGUUUUCUUCAAUUUCUUUCUUUAGUGUUCUGUAGUUUUCAUUGUAGAGGUCUUUCACCUCUUUUGUUAGAUUAUUUCCAGGUACUUGUUUUCUUUUUUUUUUUCUUCUCUUUCUUUCUUUCAUUUUUUUGUGAAUGAGUAGUUUUCCUAAUUUCUCUUUCAGUGGAUUCAUCACUGAUGAAUAGGAAUGUGUUUGAUUUAUGGGCAUUGAUUAUAUAUCAUGCUACUUCUUCGUUGUUUACUAAAUUCAUUUAUUAGUUCUAGAAGUUUUCUGGUGGAAUUUUUUGGAUCUUCUAGAUAUAGAAUCAUGUCAUCAGCAAAGAGUGAUAGUUUGAGUUCUUCUUUACCUAUUUAUAUCCCUUUAAUUUCUUUUCUUUCUUUUUUUCUUUCUUUCUUUUUGUCUAAUUGCUCUGGCUAGAGUUUCAAAGAUGAUGAUGAACAGAGUGAACAGAGGUGGUGAAAGAGGACAUCCUGUUCUUGUUCCAGUUUUUAGGGGGAAUACUUUCAAUUUUUCUCCAUUUAGAAUGAUCUGGCCUUGGGUUUAGCAUAUAUAGCUUUUACAAUGUUGAGGAAUGUUCUUACUAUCCCUAGUUUUUCUAGUGUUUGUUACAUGAAGGUGUGCUGUAUUUUGUCAAAUGCUUUUUCUGCAUCUACUGAGAUGAUCAUAUAGAUACAGAAAAAGCAUUUGAAUAUAUUUCUGUUAAUUUUUUUUCCACUCUAGUAUAUGUUGAAACACAUACAUUUUUUAGUAUUUAAAAUCUGUCUCAGUCUUGACCUUUGUUUGAUACUUGCAUAAAAUUAAUCUUUGAAUAGCAAAUUACAAAGACAUCCGGAAGCAUGAUACAGUAAUAUUCACUCAAAAGUACAAAUUAUGUAGUAUACAAGUAUUUUAGAACAACUAAAUUUGCUAAAAGCUACAUAUUUAAUUAUGCAUGACCUGAAUACUUUUGGAACAAAUUUAAUGUGUUCAAAUAAGCAGUGUUUCAAAGGGUGCUUUGGAAUAGAAAUGUAAACUGACAUCCCCUUUUGUGACUUAUUUUCUUCCUCAAUAGAACUUUACUUCUAAAAAGGAACAUGAAAAAGAUCCACUUAGUAGGUCACUGUUAUUAGAAAAAAAUGCAAAUGAACAACUAAAACUUCACUCCACAAAUCAAGCUGCCUGCUCUCCUGGGCAUUAUUCAGUGCUUGGUUUAAUAUUUUCCUAACAUUUUAAGAGUUUUUCCAAUUAAAUAUUAAUACUUUUCUCAAAGAGAAAGAGAGAUUUAUUAUCCUAAAGAGAUGGUGGAAGGGAGAGGUAGUGAUCUGCAUGAGCAGUUAGAAUGAGGAACUGAAGAGAAAGGUUCAUUAAGGAAAACAUGCUGAGCCCACUUUCAUGCACCAAAGAGCUGCAAGUGGAAGCUGGAUUUAACUAGGUGGUGGGACUCAACACGAAGUCUAUAUGAUUUCCAAGUGAUUGGCUCUACUGGGCAAGGAAUUACCCAACUAUAUCAUCAGCCUAGAAGGUCAGAGUGGUGUUAGAGCAGACAUCAAUUUUUUUUUUCUGUCUAUAUUCAAAAGCAAGCAAAGAAUCAAAAAGUACAGACUCAUGAGGCAUCUUGGCAUCUCAACCUGCCAACAGAGAGGUGUGUCCACAUGAGAAGCCUAUGGCCCCUGCUUCCAUAUCUACUGCACUAGAUGCCAUGGUCCACACCACAGAUGCCUCCUUGAAUACUUCAACAGUGAUCUCUGAAGCUGCCUGGAGGAGGGUUAAUGACUCACAAAUCUCAGCUAAUUACCUUUGGGGGGGAUGUGAAUUCAGCUGCGAUGAGCUGCAGACAUGGAGGCCAUGUCCUCUUCCUAAGAACAUCCUGCAUCAUUUCCCUGCACCAACUGGGGUCUAAAAUCCUCGCCACCAUUUCCUGAUUCAUUUCUAAAAAUCUAUUCCAGUUCUAUGUACCCUGAAAAAAAAUGGGAGCAAAAGACUCAGGCUGAUUUGCAUCUCACACCUCCCUCUGCUCAAUCCUGCUUUAUUUAUUUGCUCAACAAUGUUCAUCUUGAGAGCAUUCCCCAAUAAAAUAUUUACAUUAAAGUAUCCAAGAGUCAGCUUCUUGGAAAAUCCAGUGUGUGAUAUCUAUCAUUAAUAUUGCCCAAGUCUGGGACUGUGAACGUGAGGCUCUUAUUUGAAACAGUUGCAACUGCUCUUUGCACAACUGAACACACUCAGCAUGGCUCUCUGCACUGCAGUUUGCUGUGGUUUCUUAAGACCUCUCAGCUUGAGCUAUUUUGCAGCUACAGUUUAUGUCAGGAUGGGAGGCUGUUCUUCAUAAAAACAACAACCCCAAAUCUCUGUGACUUUGGAGCAUUACAUUUAAUUGCAUGAAUUCACUUUUUUUUUUUUCUUUUCAGAAUGAGGAUACACUUCCUUGUCACCCUGCUGAAACUGUAUAGUCAAGGGUCUGGGCUGUCUCUAUCUCAUCGUUUAUAUUCUGCAACACAGAGCUUUCAUAGUUUCUGAGACAGAAGAGGAAAAAGUGAUAGAGAAGACAUGAUUCCUCUAAAUCAUUUUUGUUCCAAAGUCAGUCACAUCAUUUAUGGUUUCAGUGCAUGAAUCAGAAAUGGUUGCAUUACUCUAGGGCCACUAGAACCUGCACAUAGAAACUGGUACACCAUCAGUAAAUAUAAGAUCACUGUCCAGCAGCUACAUAAUUCUCUCCCACUGUACUUGCCAAGGUGAAGUUCUGGUCCAAUUUCCCACUCAAUCAUUCAGUAAGAGAAAUACCAUAAAUGUCAUCUCUAAAUUGGUAAAAAUAUCUAAUAUUUUUUCUAUAACAUAAAAAUUGGUAAAAAUAUCUUAAUAUUUUUUCUAUAACAUAUGUAAAUAUACAAAAAAUCUUUUUUUGUUAUUUUGAGAAUGAAUACAAUCAAUUUACAUCUUUGAAUCUCAGUAUGUUCAUCAAAUAAAAUACAUAAAGCAGCCAUUGACCAAAGAUGGUGGCAGAUAACAACCACCAACAAAACAUCAUAGAAUAAAACUCUAAAUAUGACUUGGAAAUAAUACCACACACACACAUAUAUAUAUAUAUAUAUAUAUAUAUAUAUAUAUAUACAUAUAUAUAUAUAUACACAUAAAUAUGUAUAUAUACACAUAUAUAUAUAUAUGCACAUAUAUACAUAUACCUUGUAUGGGAUGUAUAUAUAUAUAUAUAUAUAUAUAUAUAUAUAUAUAUAUAUAUAUACACAUAUACCCAGUUGUUAUAGUGUUGGUCUGGAAUGUCCAGCAAAAGCUCAUGUGUCAGUCAAUGCAGCAAUUUUCAGAGGUGUAAUGAUUGGGUGGUGACAGCUAUAACCUCAUCACUUGAUUAAUCCAUUUGAUAGAUGGUAACUGGGUGGUAACUGUGGACAGGCAGGAUAGACAGGAAAGAGUACAGCACUGGGGGCAUGGUCUUGGGGAUUAUAUCUGUCCCUGGCCCCUUUCUGUCUCUCUGCUUGCCAACUUCCAUGAACUGAGCUGCUUUCCUCUGCCACACCCUUUUGUCACAAUGUUUCUGUCUUUGAGCCAGUUUUCAAUGGAAUGAAUCCUCUGAAACCAUAAACCAAAAUAAAUCACUCCUCCUCUGAGUGGUUGUUGUCAGGCGUUUUGGUCACAGGUUUUGGCAAUUCUUUCUCACUAAGGAUGGGUGUGUGGCUGUAAAGAAUGUUGCCUAUUUCCAAAGAAACACACCUGGUGGGAUGAAGCAGAACUUUUCAAGUUAAAUCCUGUCAAUCAGACUUUAUCACCAGUCUUAUUUGCCAUUCCCCACACUUGACCUACUGCCUCUGUUGUUCACGCGCAGUUUCAUUGAGAUCAAUUUCCUUGACCACUUAACACAUCAUUUUUUUUCUCAUUUGUGAAUAUUCCCUGAAAGAGAGUCACAGUUACUAGCACAUCAUGAUCAUGGAGAGUCAGAUCUGAAUAACGACAUCCCCAUUGCCAUAUCCUUCCUUCUCCAAUCUAAGUUCACUGAAGUCUCAACAUGAAAACUGAGCUUUCUACUAAUUUCCAAAAUAGGGAGUAAAAUCAUAGGAUUAGUAUGUUUGAUAAUAAUAAUAUUCAAGAAAUUAGAAUGGACUAUAUUCAAUGCUUAACAUGGUCCCCAUAUUUGAAGAGUAGCCACUAAAUAAGCAUUAUUCAGAUCCCUGUCAAAUUGUUUUUAAGUUUCUUUUGGGAAAAGCCAUCCUGGGUUUCCUAAAGUUGACCUUUUAAUACCCAUAUCAUUUUUCUCCUUUUAAAUUCUAAAACAUUAGAAGGACACCCAUUAGAUUAUAUUUCUGUUGGAUUUAUUAAUUUUGCCUUCCCUAUUCAAAAUACCCCUUUUAUGCAACUUAAGCCUACCUUAUGUCUUCUGUAAAAGACUAGCAUCUUCCCUACUUGUUUUCUUUAUGGGAAGCCACGACUAUAAUCCUCACUAGUUUAAAGACAUCUAGUUGAAUCCCACAGUCAUGGUCACAACCUUGAACAUAGGCAUCUUUCACUCCCAGUAUAAAAGGACCUCAAAUGUUCAUCUCUAGUCUGAUUUGUCUAAUGCCCAUUGGACAUAUACUCCCGCUGGGCAUGCUGCUCAUAUCUUGAAAUUAAAUCAAACAGAAACAAAUUAGAAAUUAUUUCCACCUUAUAUGUCAUUUUCCAUCUCAGGGCAUAGCAUCAGCCUCCUGUGAUUUACCCAAUACAAAGGUAUAUUUUUUGGUUUUGUUUUACCUCCUCCUUUUCCUUACCUUGUAACACUCCACCAUACAAUUUCAAUCUAACCUGCUAUACAUCUUUGAAAAUUUCUAUUUCUCUCUAGCCUAAUUAGCAGUUUCUUAGCCCAGAUCACUGCAAUCUGCCACCUACACUCCUUAACAACCUGAUUAACUCCUUAUAUAAGUUUCUGUCACCCUUGUCCCUGGGGCACACCAUACCCAGAAUGAGCCUCAAAUUUCUAAUUGUAUCAUUCCUAAGAUAAAGUUGAACCUUCUUACUAUGACUUACACUGUCUUCUUCAGUAAUGAAUUAGUUUGCCUUUCAAGUAUCUUUGUUUUCUGUACCCCAUCAAUGCCCCAGCCAUGAUAUACUCAUUUGUAUCCUAAAACACUGUGAUUUUAUUUAUAAAAACUUUGAUUUUAUUAUUAAACUUGGUUCAAUUUUCUCCUGUCUACAGCAUGGCAGACUUUCUGCUUGUCAUACUCAUACUAAAUUCCCAGCAAUUAACAGUAUUUUUCACACUGCAGAUGACUACCCAGUUCCUAUUGAAUGAAUCAAUGUCACAAAUACAUACUGUGCAUCACCCAUGGCCACUGCCCUCUUACAUGUUGACAGUCCUCAAGAACUUCUGAACUUCAGAGAUAUAAAUAUCAUGACUAAGUGUGAGAAUAGGGCUUUCAGGUUAGCCUUCUUGUCUUGGACACUUAAAAAACUUUUUUUGUUGUUGUUUUUUUUUUUUUUUUUUUUUUUGUAUUUUUCAAUUUUAGGCAAGCCAUUUAACUUAUUUCUUCAUCUGAAAAGAUAACUUUAAAAAAUUACCAGACUUGGGCCAGGCAUAAUCCCAGAGGCUCAUGGGAGGUUGAGGUAAGAGUGUCCAAGUUCAAAGCCAGUCUCAGCAACUUAAUGAGGCUCAAACAACUUAGUGAUAUUUUUGUCUCAAGAUAAAAUAAAAAUUAAAAAUAGGGCUAUGAAUAUGGCUCAGUGGCUAAGUGGGUUCAAUCCCCAGUAUAAAAAAUAAUAAUAACAGAUUCAGUUGCUAUAAGCACCAAAUUAAGAUAAUGGGUAUAGAGAAAGCUGUAGCAUAUGACAAAGAGGAAACAACUGAUUUAGCUCAGAGAUUAUUAUUACUUUCACAUGAUCUGGGCGUGGUGGAGCAUACCUGUAAGCCUAGAGGCUCCGGAGGCAGGAGGAUCAUGAGUUCAAAGCUAGUCUCAGAAAAAGCAAGGCACUAAGUGAGACCCUGGCUCUAAAUAAAAUAUAGAAUAGAGCUGGGAAUGUGGCUCAGCAGUCGAAUACCCCUGAGAUACAUCCCUGUUACCCCUCCAAAAAAAUGACUUUCAGAUGAAGCUUUCUUAUGGCAUCCAUGUUGGGAAGAGAGAUUUCUACUUCCUUAAAAAGGGCUUAAAAAAUCUGCAGUCAUUUCUCCUUUGUUGUCCACUGCCUUAAUCAUUUAUAGGAACAAUGUAAUUACACAUUCCAGUCAAUGCACCUUAUCUUAGUGCUUUUAAAAUUUCAUUGAAGUCAAACUUGUUUAAGCAGUGAAAGAGGAAGUGAUAGUCGUCAUGUCUGGGGACAGAACCUUGCAUGUGGCUUGUCUGAUUCAUCAACUGCAGACAGCACUGGCUGAUUUAUGAGGUGCACACUGCAGAAUUCCAUGUUCAAGGCUCUGUAGAUGUUGAGAUGGUUUUCAAGUUGUUCAGGCAUUUUCAAGGCUUAGGGACAAUUGUGCGUGUGUGUGUGUGUGUGUGUAUAAUUUGUAUUAACUACUACUGUAGAAAACUUGUGCAUAAUUUCAGCAGUACUGUGUUCAUGGGUAGUAUCACUAUUUUUAAAAGUCUUACCAGCUCUUUAAUAUACAUAUAAAUGGUCUAAAAAUCUGUACUUAUGACAUUUUAGCCAUUUUCAACUCACCAUCUUGUUCAACAUAAUAUUAAUUCUCUGCUAGACGUUUUUAGUAUCUAUCUAACUUAACUUCCUCCAUUUCUACUCUCAGAUCACACAUCAAAGCCCCAUCCCCUCAUUGAUUGUAUAUUCAAAAUGCAAAUUUUCAUAUCUCAACUUUCAUACACAGAUCAUUCAAUGUCUAACAGCUGGUCUUUACAUAAAACUUCAUUUGUGUGUGUGUGUGUGUGUGUGUGUGUGUGUGUGUGUGGCCUACCAAUCCUUCUAUUAUUGUUUGAGUACUGCUAGAAUUUCAAUUCUAACUCAUUCAUCCUUGUCUUUUGGUUUCACUACCAUACAUGGGAUCACUCACUUGUCUCACAGACGUAUCUAAAUUCUUUCCUCUGACACACACCUUUCUAUGGCACAAUCCACCAUUGCCUAAUUAACUCCUAUUUUGGACACAUUAGAUAAAACACGGCUUCCUCAAGAGAAUUUUUCCCCAACCCUCAUUCUGUCAGGCAAUUUUUUUUCUUAUAAAUUCUCACAGAAUAACAUAUUUUAUUUCAUCACAUUUACCUUUGUGAUUAUACACUGGGCUAUCUAUUUGUUAAUUCAACUAUUAACCACUAAGAAUUCAGGGAAUUAUUUUUCACUGUAUCCCUACCUUUCAUUCAGUGCUUGGGACGGGCCUGAAAAUAAUUUGGGAAAGCACCAUCAAAUCUAAAUGGAGAUGUAAUAGGAAUUUAGAGAAAAUUAAAAUUAACACUAAUAGUAAGUAAGAUAAUAGCUCUAGUUUAUUGAAAUUUUCUGCACUUAUUACAUUACUAAGCAGGUGCAAAGCUUGAGUAAAGAUGACUGACCCAGGGUUACAAUAUGAUCACAAUGAAAACAAAAGUAAAUGAUGUGCCAGUCAGCCCAUGGAGGCAGGCUUUGUAGACCUACAUUGGUGACAAAUUAAAAUCCAAUUUUUGGGGACUAGGGAUGUGGCUUAGUAGUGGAGCAUUUGCCUAGCAUGUGUGAAACCAUGAGUUUAGUCCUCAGAACUGACAAAAUAGGGAAAAAGAAAAUUCAAUUUUUUAUAUUAAUCAGACUUUAGAAGUAUUGAGUAAGACCCACUUCUGGUCCUAGUUGAUGUUGAAGAGAAGGAAAGGGGAGUUGAAAAGUAAAUGUAUUUACAAGAUAUUGCCAAAGGAUAUCCAAGAUCAUAGAUAUGACUCUCCACUGAUUCAUGGUGGGCUGACCUAUGCCUGGAUUGAGAUAUUAAUUUAUUUUAAGACUUUAGAUAAUUUAAAUACCACCUACUUCGUAUCAAAUUUGUUUCAUGAAAUGACAUAGGAGACGAAUAUCCAGAAAAAAAAAAUCACUGCCUGAUGUGCAAAAGAGUACCAUUUGAUGAAGUGGAGAGAUGAUCUAUAGUGUUCCAGACACUGUAUUGAGGGUACCCUAAGAAUGAUGUACACUGUAAUAAUUCUCUUGGCAUUAGCUGCCACUACUCACUUUUUCAAGGUAAUUAUGUGCAUAUAGAACAACAAGUAAAUUAUUUAUAAAGUCUACAUAACCUAUGUAAUAGGAGGCCUGGUAUGACACAUAGAGAUGGGAUUAGCAUUCAAAUUUUUUCGGCUCCAAGUCUACCAUGUUUUCACUGCAUGGCAAUCUAAUCUGUAAGAAAAAAAAGACAAAAUCUUAAUCAUUAUCUGUCUCUGUAGAUCUUAAUCAAGUUCUUACUCUCUCUUUUUGAAUAUUGUUGAUUAAAAUAGAUGUAAAUAUCAAUGUUAAGAAUAUAACAAUGUCAGUGUAAUAUUGGCUUAUUUUUGUUCUGUUUUUCUUCAUUAUAACUGAAAAUACUGAACUUGCCUUUUGUUUAAAAUAUAUAAAAUUAUAAAACAAUUUGAUCUCUUAGAAAUAAUUUUUGUGUUUUAGGCAUAGCUAGAUUAGCACACAAAACUGAAUUAGUGAAAACAAAUGUCAAAAUUAAUGGAUCUUAUAUGUGGAGAUGGACCACAUAUAGAAAGAAAUAAAGAAGUGACUACUAAAAAUUCUAUGGUAAAUUUAGUUUUAUGUCUUUUGUGUUGUCUAUGACAAACUGGUCUAAUAAAAAUAUAUUUUAAAAUCUUUUUUAAAAGUCUUUAAAGAUGAAUUCCCAUUCCUAAUCCAUUCUUCACUUGCUACGUGACAAGUAAGGUAUGAUAAAUGGAAUGAUGGCAUGUGAGUGACAAUGGAAUAAAUGUUAGUUCCUGAAUUGGAUUUAGUUGAAUUGAAUGUUAGUUCCUGAACUGAUUUUCAAGUCAUACUGAGAAUUAUAAAAUCACAGGUGUGGGCACUUAGUUGAGAGAGAUAGUUAAUGAUAUUAUUAUGGAUAACAUGUUGUUGUAGAAUAGAAUAAAGAAGAAACAAAUAUUAGAUUUAGUAAAAUAACAUUAUUCCCAGAAAAAUUGAAAAUGGGAAUCCACUUUUUGUUAUGACAACCAAGCAGAUAUCAUUUGAUAAAAAUUGGAUGUUUCUAAGGAUUAUUUCCUAAGAUAAAUAUAAUCAAUCACCAAACUUGCAUAUUAAAAUUAUAACAAUUAUAAAUGGAGUAGAGAUCAGAACCCCAAAAAUAUUCAUAAUGGAGAUACAAUGGAAGUAGUAAUAUUUUCACACGUUAGGGAUUUUUAAAUCCCAAUAAGUAUCUAACAUAAUACGUUAUUAGACACAUUAUUACAUUUUAGAAAUACUAUUAAUCAACAGAAUCUACAUGCCAUGUUUUGGCUAAGAAAAGACAACACUCUCAUUGACAUUUACCCAAGAUGAGAAGAAAUUUUUCCCCAGUGAUCCAAAGUUCUGCAUCUCAACUGUCACUUAAUUACCAAUUGGGAGACCCUAAAAACAGAAAAGAAGUUUUAGUGACGAUCUUGAACAAAUGAAAAGAUGAAUAAAUAUUCAUUUGUUCCUAUUAAAAUAAAACUUACAGAACACUAAAUACAUUCCCAUGCCAUGUGGUGAAUACCAGACGUAAGACAUGAUCUUAGUCAUUUCAUAACCAAGUGAGCAAACGGACAUAUUUAAAAGUCACCACUCACAGGAUUUCUAUUCUGCAAUCCAACAAUUGGAUGUCUAUUUAUAAAAUAAUAACAUGCCAACAUUCCGUGCCCACUAUUCCAAAUUCCCAUUUAUAUGAAAAAACCUUUAAUGUCAUUCGAACAAUUCAGCAAGGGAGAAGCUGCAACUAUGAAUGAAAAAAAAAUUAAGUAAGCAGGGUAAUAGACUUAUGGUUGAUAUAUUUACAAUAUCCACAAUACAGUUAGGGUGUGUGAUAAAAUGAACCCUCAGUGUUUCCUCUUGUCCCACUGGUAACAGCCUGACUAUGAAGUUAUCCCUGAGUGAAGGAAGUGAGAUAGAAUACAUGAAUGCUCAGGAGAAGAUGAAUAAAUUUCUCUUCCACUAUCCUAAGGUAACUAGUCCUUUUCUCUGGGUUCAUUUCAAGAACUAAUUGUUUUCCAGAAAGGAAAAAAAAAGAUUAAGAAAAAUAGAGGUGGGGAAGGACCUCAUGAUAAUUGAAGGGAAACCAGUAGAGGAAAAGGACCAGGGAAUUGAUGAGGGGAAUGAGAGCGAAAAUACCAGCCAAAUUAUAUUGUUACAGUGUGUUCAUGUUCAAAUAUGUAACAGUGACUCUCCACCAAUCAUGUCUAGUUAUAAUACACCAGUUUUAAAAAAAAAACAACUUGUUAGUAAAAGUCAGUGCUAUCAAUCUUAGAAUGAACCAUCCAGGGAUAGGGCAGACUGCAAACAAAAACAAGCCAAGACUAAAAACGCCAUCUAAUGUGUACAUCACAGGAAAUAAAACAAAACGAAUGCACAUAGAAAUUUCAAUGAAACAACAUGGUUUAGAAUCAGAAAAGUUCACAUUAAUGGAGUUACUUUAAAUGGAAAUUAAUGAUCCAGAAGACUGCCUCACUAAGUGACACAAAAGCAGCUCUGUCUUACUUUAAUGACCCACGUGUCUUCCUUUCAUUAAACAUAAAAAUUACAUAUAAAGAUUUUCAUAGGUAGCCUUGUAUUCUUGUAAAUACACAAACCCCCUGUGAUUUUAAGCUUCUGACCAGAAAUUUCAGGACCUCAAUGGAAAGCAUUGUCCAGUUUCUAAGAUUUUCUGUUUAUCUCUCAGUCUACCAUAUGUGUAAGAGAUUGACAUAAUUAUUACAUUGGAUUUUUCAGUUUUAUGUUGUUAACAUUUACAAAAUUCAGGGAAACCUACAAGGCACACUUUUUCAGCAUUUUCAGACCAUCACAUUCUUCUUCAAUAUAGAAGCAAACAUUUCAACAAGCAAAACGAAGAUGUAUUAUUAAAUGUUCCAGAGAAACAUAGCCCCUGAACAUUAAUAAAUACUGAUCUUGACUUUGCUUAAAACUGGUGUCUCAUACUCUGGUUGCCUUGAGGUCUACAUACACUAUAAUUUACAGUAGUAGUACUUCAGUCAGAAGAAAUCGAUAUUUGGUAUUUUUUUUCUGUAUAUUAAGAAUGUUUUGUGGGAUGUUGCCUAAAAUCAGAAUGGUUCCUGGUCAAUGAAAUAUGGACUUGGAAUAGUGCGGGUGAACCUGUACUUAGAUCUGGGUUAAUAACCUGGUUCCAGUGUUUACUAUUUUUUUUUUCUAGCAAGAUUGAGAAAGUUAUCUUCUCCCAACCACAUUCUAUCUGCUACUAAAAUGCAGAUAUCUGCUCCACUGACAUGUCCUGAUAACUUCAGCACAAGGUAUGACGCCUUACAGCAGAAUACACUUGGUGAAAAUUUGUUCUACACUAAGGAAAGACUAAAGAAACAAUAAAAUACUUCUAUAAAUAGAAAUUAAAUUCUGAGGUUUUUCACAAAUGUUCUCCAAGGUGCAUGCAUUUGCCGCAGGAGGUUUAUUUAUUUUACUUGUUUUUGAUUGUAAUCAGAUGAGCUGUGUAAACAUGCCUGACUCCUGUAAAUGACUGCCAUGUAACUGGGUGUCGCCAGAAUUUAGUGCUUAUAUUUGCAUUUGGAUGUUUGGUAGCGUUCGUUCACAUCAAGUGGUACUAUGCACAAAGAGCACAAGUAAACUUAAUGUCUGUGUGAUGUGAUCACAUCAAGUAAAGCCAGAAACAGAACAGAGUGAGCUGAACCGAAAAAGUCACUUCAGUACUUCAAAAGAGAUCAUUUUAAAAUGAACACACUCAUGAUGUGACACACACACACAAUAAGACAUGCUAUGCAAAUUCAAAAGAAACUUAUUCUUGGUAGUUGGUGUUAUUUCCACAUUCUGAAUAAUAAUUUAGUUCUGGCAAAUUAUAAUUCUAUUUCUUUCUUUUGAUUCAAUUGGGCAUGUGGGGUUCUUUUUGUUGUUUUAUUAUUUUAUACAUACUUCUUGAUUUGCAAUUCAAUGUACUCUAAAGUUUAAAAGACUUAUAACUUGUUUAUAAGUAUAUUUUAAACGUAUGAAAAUAAUGAUAGGUCAUUAUUUUAUUUUUACCCUUUAUAAAAGUGAAAUAAGAAGAUACAUUAUUGUAAUAGGAAGAAUAGUUACAGUUCUUAGAUUCACAAUAUGAGAUUAAAUACCAACUCUCCCAAUUCCUGUGAAAGUUUCUGCAUUAGCUUAACCUCACUGACCCUUAAUUUAAUCCCAGAUAAAACAGGGAUCAUAAAAAUUCGUCAUGCCUCCCGUGCAAGGUGUUCCAGAGAAUUAAAUGAAAUCAAAGAUGUUAGAAUGUCUUAUAAUCUAUAAAGCUCUGAAUUAAUGUAAGGGAUUAUUCAUUUCAUCAUUAUUAAUAAACAUUUGAACUCCCAACAUCACAGCAACGUGUAAGUCAUCUUCAGAAGAAAAUAUCUAAUGCCUAAGAAUGCAAAUCAAUUAUUGAAUUCAUUGUUCCCUUUCAUGAUUCAGAGGGUUUAUCUUACAAUACUCAAGUUUGCUCCCACAAACAUAUUUCUGUUUUCUUGGGCUUGAAAAGAAGUUGCAAUUUUAAAAAUAUGAUGUGAAUUAAUGUGCCUGAAUUAAGAGUUUUAUUGUAGACAAAAGGUUAGGAUCUCCUAGGCUCCUUGAGAGAUUUGCUAAAUUUCUCUCUGAUUUUUGUUGUAUCAUAUCUUGGAAGUAGCCUGUCUCCGCAGUAUUUCAUGCAGAGCUGAUGAAAAAAAUUACCUGUAUAAAUAUAUAUAUAUAUAUAUAUAUAUAUAUAUAUAUAUAUAUAUAUAUAUAUACACACACACACACACACACACACAUACAUAUACAUGCAUACACACAUGAGUUAUAUGUUCUGAAGAGAAACGAGAACAUACUUUUAUAGUGGUAAAUGACAAAUUAUAUUUAAAUGAUUUCUAUAAAAAUGACAUUAUAGAUUUAAUUUUAUAUUUAUAUUUAUGUCUAUUUCCUAAAAAAUUCCUGGCAGUUAUAUUUAAGCAAUACAAUGGCAUAAAUUUCUAAGAGAGUCUGAAUUAUAGUAUUAGGUUCAAAGAAAAAAGAAAACAUGCAAAUUUUAACAUACAGUUGUUUUUCUAUUUUUCUAGUUGCUUCAAACACACCAUUAAUUAUGUUAAUAUCUAUGCAACAUUAUGACCAGUGAAUAUAUGAUGAUCUAAGUACUGUCAUACAUUUAAAUUCAUUCACUUCUACAUAAUAAGUGUCUUAAACAUGUAUAUAUGUACACUAACUAAAAUAUAUAAGUUAUAAACUGAAUUUGAAUUUUUCCUAUUGUGUACCUUUAUAAUGCUUUCCAAAGAAGUAUAUUUAUAUAUUAAUUUGUUCAAAUAAUUAAUAUGUAAGCAUCAUUUACCUCCAGCCACUAUUUCAAGGACUCAGGUUAUUUACUUAUUUAUGGGCUCAGUUAUCUGCAAUAUACUGUUGGCACCACCUUGCUUGUAUUAGAAAUUCAUUAAAAAUGCAUAUCUGAGGUUGAAAAAAGUAGUUAUUCUUGUUUUCAUAUUUUGCCUAUCAGUUGACAGGGCUUGUUCUUGACUUUAUAGUGAAAAGAAAGUUGUUUGAGAGCAGGGUAUAUGUUUUCUUUAAUUUUUAACUAUACAAUGUUUGACACAUCAUAGGUAAAUUUUGAAGGUAUAUUUACUAUACAAGAAGUAACUCAUUAAAAAUGGUGUUCAGAAAUUGGGAAGGAUGGUUUUGGCGAGAGUUCUGGAAUUUAUAUUAAUGAGUAGACAAGACCUAAGAAUUUGCAAUGUUAAGUAAGUGAGAAUUUAAUAGUCCUAUUAACAACUGACUUAGUCUGGGGCUAUGGAUCUGCAUGUGGGCUCUUCUCUUUAUCUUCCAUGCUGGAAUUGCUCUUUUAAAUCCCAGACACUAUUCUUUUUCAGUAGUACACAGAAAAGAGAUAGAAUCAAUAAUGUUAUAAUCUUUCUUUUUGCAUCUGUGUUAUCCACUUAUGUAUAAUUCCAUUUAAUUAUAACAGUCAUAUUAAGUAGCAUUAUUCCCAUUUUAUAGGUAAGAUUAGUAGUGCUCAGAGAAAUUAUGCCACUCACAAUUUUUCAACAAUACUGAAUCCAUUUGAACCGGGUAGUAUCUUAAUUUACCAUCAACACUUGCUAAUAUCUCCAUUUGCCUUUUAUAACAUCUUAUCUGCUAGAACAAUGGGCACUGUGUAUGUAAAACCUAAAGAUCUAUUGGGAGGAUGCUGCCAUAUCAGAAGUCUGGGAACUUUGGGUACUGCCUUCCCUUGCCCUGAGAGAAGUAGAUCUAGUAUCUCUAAGAUAAGACCCCUUUUUCAAUUUGCUGUUUUUUUCCUGGUCUUGAAUUCUUCUAUGCUCUUUUCUUUUCAUAACCACAUAUAUUUAAAUCACCAAUUGCUUUAGUCCUUAGCUUCUCUCUCAUGGAAUUAUCGCUGGAAUGCUCUGUUUGUACAAAGCCAGUUUUGGGGCCAUAGGUUCAACAAAGAGGGUUUAGGGAAAAUGCAUUUGGCAUGUUGGAUUUUAAUGGACAGCAAGAAUUGAAUAGGAGUUGGACUGGAGAAAGGAAUGGUAUAAUGCUUGUAGGGAAAAAUCAUACUUUAAAAUUUGAAAUGUGAACAAUGUAUUCAGGUAAAAUUCUAACCCAUUUGACUGGAGUUAACUAACAAAAUGUCAAAAAGCCUCGUGAGGCUGAAACUAGUAUAUGUUCACAACUUGACAUUGUGCAUGUCUCGAUUUCUGUGUCUUUCCUUUGAUAUAGUUAGAGAAGUUUUGAUAUACUGAGUUUAAACAUAGGAAAAAUAACAUCUCCACCAUAAAAUUUAAUUUUCAUUGCUGGAAUAAAAUGUCUACUUUAAACAUUUGAAAGUACAAAGUAGGAGUUCUGUCUACCCUGAUUGCAGACUUUUGUGUAUGAGUGCAUAUGUGGGCAUGAGAAUAUGUUGUGUGCAUCUGUUUGUAUAACAAAAUAACCAUUCUACAUCAUCGUCUGAUGGAUUCCUAAAUAAAUAUAUGUAUGUUCCUACUUUAUAUAGUGUCCUGAUGGCAGGAAAUAGUAAAUGUCACUAUUUCCCCCAGAGUUUAUAAAUAUUGCAGACUCUGAUAUUUAUUCUGGAGAAUAUGAGGUAAAUAAAAGUAUAUAAAUAAAAUUCCCAUACAAAACUCAAAAUCAUAGAUGACAUGUAUUCAGCUCCAUGCACCCUGAUAAAAAUGUGUCAAACAUGAAAUGUGUGGUGGUUUAUGAUUCAUGGUCAAGCAUUUUAAAGUGAAGAUUAAUGAUGUGAUUUCUGUUCCACCACUAGAGUCAUCUAAGUAUUAAAUGUGAGCAAUAAUUGAACAAUUUUGUGUAAAGUUCUUACAUCACCAAAGAAGGAAAAUAUUGUGCAUAAUAAUUUGAAAUAAAAAUGUGGGGACAGGUCAGCUGAUGCAGAUACUAAACAAUUGUGAUAGGCUAGUAGUAAAUUUCCUUGUGGCCCAGAGGUAAUCAUUAAUAUUUCUUCUUCUUUGGAUUUUAAUACUGCAACCUAAAUUAGCAUAUAAUUUCUGGAGAUCAUAUAAUGACACGAAUGGAUUUGCUACAGGGUCAUUGUGUUAUUUCACCCUUAACACUGACCCUACUCUCAAACAAAGAUAUUGUGCCUUUCCCAGCAUAAUCUGAGCUGUCUACUCCUGUAAAAUCAUUGAAAGUGAUGAAAGUUCUCAAGAUUGUGUUAGUUUGUAGCUUUGGUUGGCUAAUGGUACCUUUAUUCCAUUCUGGUAUCAAUAACUCAAUUUGUCCUUGAAGAAUUGUUUCUCUCCCCUACUUGCUUAAGUUAUUUCCAAGAAAGGCCAUCAAGAUACCUAGAUAUUCCUUGGGCCAACUUAUGUGUAUGAGUUAUGACUUGAUUUCCAGGAAUGUGCACCUAGAGGAGCAAUGGACAAGACCACAUGUGUUGUAGCUGCUUGAUCCCAGGUCUUCCAUGAUAAGACAGUCCUUGGCAGGAUCACCUUGAAUCCCCAAAUUGCCCUGGCUCCUGACUCCUGUCUUUUCUCAGAUCUGAUUCUUUAGCUUUGCUUUGAUAUCCUGAACUUUCUCAUAAAUUACUUAGGUUAAAUUCCUUUCUUCCUUUUUUUUUUUAUUCCUUUUCUCUCAUUUUUCUUUUACAUUUUUUUUUCCUUUUUAACUGGGCCACAGUCACUUACUAUUGCUAGCAACCAAAACAAAACAAAAUUGUAAACAAACAUCAAAAGUGAAGAGAAAAUCACUUCACAGAUAGCGCUGAUUUAAUUGAGAAGCCUAUAGAGUUGGAUUUUCCUUUUUACACCACCCACCUAUGCUUGGUCCAAGUUCAGGGGCUUUAUUCCAAAUGUUGAGCUCCUGUAUUCUUUGUAGGCAGGAGUAGUCUUGUGAGGUCAGUAAAGAAAAAUGCCUUUCACAUGGAAUUGUAUAGUCUUUGCUUCCUUUUACCCUUAAGUGACUUCAUUUGACCCUUGCUGACUUAGGAUAGUGUCCCAUGAUGGGAACAAAAUGCCCUUUUUGUCCUGCUUUUCUCCUAUAAAACAGAUCAUAAAACCCAGGAGACAUUUUCUUACUUUCCGCUGAAACAAGUCUGUCAUGUGAGAGAUGUCGUCUUCUCUACACCAGGAGAAAGGCCUUUAUUUCUGAAGACAGAAAGACACAAAAGGGAACCUGUAAGAGAGGUUUUCCUAAGUUCUCCAUAGUGUAUAACCAUUAGAUAAUACUUUAAUCCAUCUUACUUCUCCAUAACUAUUCACCUCUUUCUCAAACCUAGCAUAGAGAAUGCACACAGGUUGGGGGUAUAUCUCAGUGGUGGGGUGCAUGCUCAGCACACAGGAGGCCCUGGGUUUAAUCCCAGCUCCAAAAGAAAAACACUAGCACCAACCCAAAAUACACAGAUGUUCCCAUUUAUUUACAGUCUUCAUUUCAUUCUGAAGGCUGGCAUGCCAUGUAAAAUUUUCAUUAAACACAUUUGUAUUUUUUCUCCUGUUAAUCCACUUUUUGUUUUAGGGACCUGAACCAUGGAAAUGGGAUGGGUGGGGAAAAGAUCUUUUUCCCUCCUGGAUGCCUAACAGUGUCCUCUUUAAUGGCACAUGAGCUUAACUUGAGAAAAUCUGCAUUAUUAAUCCAUCAAUCCAACAGUCUUCAAAGACCUUUUACAUACUUAUGAUACAGUAAGAUGUCUUCUAAGGAAAGAAGUUUUACAAUAAAGCCCAACAUUUAAAAAAUCAGAUCUGUGUGCAGGGCAUUAGCUAGGGCUGAGUUCUGUUAUAUGUAGGAAGCAAAAUGGAGUCAUGUUGAUAAAUAUUUGGGAUUCACCCAGAUUAUAUUCAAAAGUGUAAGCAUUGUCCUUUUAUUAUGCUGUGGUAACCCAGUUUCAUUAGUGAUUAUCUUGCUACCGAUUCCUAUAGCUUUAAUGUCACAGGUGAGCAAACUUAGAUUUUAUGAUGUACACCAUUUGCUCAGGAGCUCAACAUUGCAUAUACAGUUAGUAUUCAGCCCCAUCCUAGGGCCCACACCACUCUUCAUAACCAGUUUUGUCUCCCUUCUGGAUGAAUUGUUAGAGUAGAAGACAACAAAUAAUCUCACUUCUGGAAGUAGCUCUAGCUGCAGAGAAAGGCAGAGGCUGUAUCUAUCAGAUGAAAUUUAAACUUCCAUGUGUUUAUGGGGUUAUCCAUUUUGAAGGUGGAAGGGUGAGGUAGGAGCUAGAGUGAAGACAUAAGAUUUCAUGUGGUUUAACGAGAGAAAAGGUGCAAAUGUAUUUAAUGAAAAUUUUACAUGGCAAGCAAACUCUCAAAAUGAAAUGCAGACUUGAGAGAAAUAGAAAAACCUGUGUAUUUUUUGUUAUCAGUGUUUUUCUUUUGUAGCUGGAACAUAAGGACAUUUUACCCAAGAGGAAAUUGUGAAAAGCAAGAUCUGACUCAUGGGGGAAGAAGAGAGGGAGAGAGCUUCACACUACGGUUAGUAAGGGAAUGUUCAUCCUCCUGAGACAUAACGGGGUGGUGAAGGAGGGAGCCUAUUUGGGUUCCACCUUCUACUAGAAUUCAGUCUCUGCAGAGCCCCUUUCCUGCCUUUUCUUCUUUGAUAAGGAAGACAGGACUGUGUUUGACAUUUUAAACCCAUCCCUCCAAUCGCAUGUGGAAUUCUGAGCAGCAUUAAGACUACUGUUAUGAAACUGCCCUGAGAUACAAAUUUGCCCUCUUCUAGAUCCACAAUGUUUAUCUAACCUGAGUUUCCUGUCAAAUUUGCCAAACCAAAGAGGAGAGAUAAACUGCCAUUUUUAAAAAAUAUUUUAGUAGAUUGUUAAGAAAUAAGCACAUCUUUUUUAAUAUGAUGUGAAAAUUUAUUUUUUGUUCCAUUUAGGGAGAAUCAAUAUUGCUUGAUGCAUGGAUAGCUCCACAACUCCUCCUUAUUUCUUCUUACCAAUUAUUAAUCCCCUAGAAAUAUGAACCUGGUCACAAAAAGAAGGGAGACAGUACUGUGGUUUGGAAAUAACAUCAAAGGGAUAGUCUGGAAUUCCCUUUCUGAUUCUGCUGCUAACCAACUGAAUAAUCUCAGCAUGCCCAUAAAGCUGUCUGAGCCAAGUGCUUGUGGGAGAUUAAACAGUGGGCUGUGUGCUCAUUUUUUUGGUAUUUUUUUUCUUUCUUCCUUUUUAUAAUUAUUAUUAUUAUUAUAUAUUAUUAUUAUAUUAUUAUUUUAUAAUUAUUAUUAUUAUUAUUAUUAUUAUUAUUAUUAUGUAGUAGGGAUUGAACCCAGGGGUGCUUAGUCACUGAGUCACAUCCCUGGCCCUUUUUUUAUUUUUUAUUUUGAAACAGGGUCCACUAAAUUGUUGAUCCUAGCUUUAAACUUGCAAUCCUCGUGCCUCAGACUCCAGAGCCCUGGGAUUACAAUGUGAGCCACAGCACCUAGGCAUGUGUUUAUUCCUUAACAGCAGUGACAUAUCUCACAGGCACAGUUAUUAGAACUGCAGUUUAAGGUUCAGGAAUGAGCCCCUUGAUUCUAUCCUUACACAUAGAUUUCAAUACCCACUAUUUAGUAGACUUCACUCAGGGUUUUCCAGUUCAAUAUGUCAGUUUAUUUAAUAUCUUAAAUGAGCCUUUUGAAAACUCCCUGAUAGGCAGUAUCCUUUUACUGAAGAUUAUCUUCAAGAAGUUCUAAUGUGUAUGAUAUUAAAAUAAUAACAUUGAUAACUGUGCACGAAUGAAUUUCCUUCACAAGAUAUCUGAUGCUGUCCUAGAUGGUUAUCAAUAACCUUGAAAAAAGGAAGAAGUUUCUAUAGGAAUGUGAUUGAUUACAUAAAUUAAGUUAUAAGGGGACUUGGACAUGGGGCACAAUGCCAACUAGAAGGUUCAUGAUGGAAAUAUCUGAGUGUGGAUAUGACAUAAUAUGUUGAGAGAGAAUUUUCAACAUUAUGCAUUUAAAGCAGUAAGCAAUUGUAUAUUUUUAUUUGUAUUUUUAAAUAGAAAAAGUGUAUCCAUUGCACUUUGUUUCAUGCCCAAUUUUUACUAUUCCUCUUAUUGCUGUAUAACCAAUGAUGCACAUGACGUCAGCUCUGGUACUGACUCAUGGUAGGCAUACAUAAAACAUUUAAAUUUUUAAAAAUAACAAAUAAAUAAGUGAAUAAUACUAGAAUCAGUGUAGCAUCUCCAUCUAUAGUCUAUAUGGGUUUAAAAAAAUACAGCAGGAAGUUCAGUAAGAUAUGCUUAUAAAACACCUGCUUUUCAACGCAUGUUAUAAAGAUUCUAUUCUGCCCCUUCUCUCCCUCCUUCCUGGAAUUGCUUUUAUUUAUUUAUAGUCUACUUGAAUUAAGGGGCUAUUUCUGCCCCAGCAGGUCUUCCCCCCCUCCCACUUCGUUCAUUGCUUUGCUUCUAUACAAUUAGAAAUACAGGAGUUACAUCAUUAUUUAGUAUACAACAUAGUACUAUAAAUUCUAUGUUAGAUACCUAGUUAAAGAUAUAGGGGAAUGAAGACUUGUGUCAGCACUCAUUAAGUAUGGGUGAACAUCACACUAAUAUCCCAAUGAGAUUAAAGAAAAUACUUUUAAACCUUCCCAUUGUGUCACUGUAUGUUAAACUCUUCAAAUGAGAGUAGUUCACAGGUAGGAUCGAUCUAUCUAUCUAUCUAUCUAUCUAUCUAUCUAUCUAUCUAUAAUCAUCUAAAUCUUUAUAAAGAUAAGUGAUUUUUCCACUUCAUGAAAUUUAAAAUAACAAAGUGAGUAUUAUCACCAUGAAUGAUUAUGUUAUGCUAAAGGACAACGGAAAGCUUCAGUGAAAACUGUACAUGCAUUCAAAAAAAACUUGUAAGUGUUUAAAAUACACUCUUAUCCAAGUCCCACUUUUUAAAAGCAUUGCAUGAAUUGCAAUGUGACCCCCAAGGCCAUCUCACUAAUCUCGCCUUAUCCAAUAGAUCUUGUUUGAGAAUUCCCUUGAAAGGAACGAAGCAUGUCAGAUAAAUUAAAUGAAAGGAACAGAUGUAGAUUAAGAGUGAUGUACAUUCUAAACCUGAACUUUUAAUUUCACUAAAUAUUAUUUUCCAAUCUUCAUGAUCACAUUAUAUUGAAAUGUUGGAACUUCAAUUUCCUCUACUAUUUCAUUUAAUAAAACCCAGGUCUCCUCUGAGCUCUUAAGGAGAUGUUAGCUUUAAAUCACAUUGACUUCACCCUUUGCAAUUUACAUAUGUUGAAGAAAUAAAAGCCUUUUCAAGAGUCACCAUGGGGCCUGAGAGGCCUCAAAGGAGUAUUAAGACCUUGAGUUUUAUGUAAGCUGCCUCAAACACAAACCACAAAUCCUCCCUGUGGAAUACUAAUGGCUUUUGUGUACAGUUACAAUUCCUUGUGAUUUUUUUUAAAGUUGUGGAGCAGCCCGUGUAUAAAACAGCCUCUGUGCGGGUGAUGGAGAUAUUCUAGCUCUCAGGCAAAAAGGCAUUUCCAUUUGGUGUUAUUUCAGAGUCCAGUUUAUACUGAAAUAAAUAAUGGAACCUGUAGGAACCUGGAAAAUAACACAUUGAAACUGCAAUUCGUGUUUUCUAUAAAGAUUUAUUCAAAAGGACAUUUUAGAUAUCUAAAGUAGAGUUAGGAGCUUGGUCCUUGAUAUCUAAUGGCGGAUUUACUCUAAUUUAUCUAUUUUCUCAAUGCUUCAUCUUUAUUUUUGUGAUGCUGAAGAUUAAACUCAGAGUCUCCUAUAUGUCAAGUAUCUACCCCUGAGCUACACAUCCAGCCCUACUUUAUGUUUUGAGAAUACAUGCUUUAUUUAUUUAUUUUUGGUAUCAGGGAUUGAAUUUAGGGCCACUUAACCACUGAGCCACAUCCUCAGCCCUUUUUGUAUUUUAUUUAGAGACAGUGUUUCACUGAGUUGCUUAGCACCUCAAUAAGUCACUGAGACUGGCUUUGAACUCACAGUCCUCCUGCCUCAGCCUCCUAAGCUGCUGGAAUUACAGGCGUGCGUCACCAUACUUAGCUACAUGGUUGAUUUUAAAUAUCAGCAGAACUCACAGCCAGAGCUCAAAAAGUUUGAGGAUUCUGAUUUCCUAAAAUGACCUCUGUUCUGUCUUUAUAAGAGAUCUUUCUUAUAUGAUUCACAUGCCUUUAUGUGGCCCAGGAAGGAUCAAAACAUGACGGAAAACGAAAGAUGGGGUAAGAAAUUAUCAUGGAUGUUUGCUUUGGAGUCACUCAGGGUGUCUAGCAAAACCCAGAAGUUCAUAAAAGCAACAAUGAAUAACUCAGUACGGAGCAAACAAGCCUUCAAUCUUUGUUUUCGAGUCUGGCUACACAAUGUAUUACUUCAUGAGUUAAAAAUAAAAAUGGGUAUGCCUGGGACCUGCCCUAGAAAAAUAGAAUCUAGAAUCUCCAGGGCUGCCCUGUCCAAUACCAUAGCCAUUGGCCAUAUGAUACCAUGCCAUACUUGAAAGGUAGUUACUCUGAACUAAGAUGUGCUGUAAGGGGAAAUUACACAUUGGAUUUCAAGUAUUUACUCUGAAACUGACGGACAUAAUGACAAAGACUCUCUUCGACCAAUCUUUAAACACGCUCCCCUGAGCUCUCUUUUCAAUUGGACCUUGUCCUUGAGUCCUGUCCUUUAGAACACCAAGCCCAGCCUUAAUAAAAAUUCUGCUAAGUUAGUUUAGCAAGAAUCCCUUCACCCUUGAUAGCUUCAUAUCUGCUCAAGUUCACCUUCCACCCCUGCUUGUCUAAGUCCCUGAAUUCCUUGAGCAAGAAUCCUGUUGAACCAGUUUGGCAAGGUUUCUCCUCCCCCCUGAUGUCUCCUGUUAGAAAUUGUUAAUCCACUGACCCUUUCCUUCUGCUUAUUGGCAUUCUCAUCUGUCCUUGCUCUAUAAAGAGUUGAACUCAGGCUGUCCUCUAGUCUUGAAAGCUACCUCUCCUGCUGUCUUGGAUGAGUUUCCAGUGAAUAAUUUGUCUUUAAUAAUACAAACAAAUAUAAAAAUGUCAAUGUUUCUUUAUGGAUCAUAUGUUAAAGACAAAUACAUUUGGGCUAGGUGUAAUGGCAUACACCUAUAAUCCCAUCUAUUCAUCUACUUGGAGGCUGAGGAAGGAGGAUCACAAUUUUCUACGCCAUCCUAUGCAAAUUCAUGAGAACCUGUCUCAAAAUAAAAUUUAAAAAGUACAGGCCAUAGAGCUCAGUAGUAGAGUGUUUGCCUAGCAUAUACCACCACCACCAAACAAACAAAUGAAAGGAAUAUAAUUAAAAUAUAUUCAAUUAAACAAAUUGUAUGAUAAAAAUUAAGACCUUUUAAAAUAAGGUAGAUGAUCACAUAUAUAACCUUUAUUAUAUUUUUAUUAGUUAGUCCUCCUCUAGGAGUCAUGCGUGGGCACCAAUAAUUCAGAACACAUUCCAAGUGAUUAGAUGUGCUCUCAGGAUUGUGACCCUUAAUAUUUAAUCAAAUUAACUCAGGAUAAAAACAUAAUAGAUAUAUUGUACAAAUAUUGUAGAUCUUACUGUAUGACAGGCCUGAUGUGAGCUUCAUGCUUAAACACUUGAAAUAACAGCACUCUAUAGUAAAUUCCAUUAUUACUCACAAUUUAUCCAGGGCAAAAUGAGGAGCAGAGAGAUAAAGUGUCUUGUCCAAGAUGGAGAGGAGUCAGGACUCAAAGUCAGGGUAUAUGACUCGGGUUCAUGUUGUCUUUUAUUUUUUAUUAUUGGAGGUACAGUCCUCACAAGCCCCUUACCUGUAAUUUCACUUUCCAUUUUUUCCAGUUACAUGCAGUCAACAUGGUCUUAAUAAUUCAAUGAAACUUUUCAGAAAUAAACAAUUCAUACAUUUUAAAUUAUGCACUAUCUGAGUACCAUCAUGCAAUCUCACAUUAUACUAGUCUGUCCUGUUCAGGACAUGAAUUAUUACUCUGUUCAGCACAUCCACACUGUGUAUGGUACCCAUCCACUACUAAUGUAAUAGUCAUAUCAGUCACCAGAUGGACCAUCAUGCCAGCAGUGCUGUGUUCAAGUAACACAUUUUACUUAAGAAUGCCCCCAAAGUAAUCAUGCAAAGAAGGCACCAACACAUAUAACAUGAAAAGACAAAUUAAUUCUGGCACUAGAUGGUAAUGCUGCUGGGAACACAGGAAAAAAAAAUAGUAUACAUAGGGUUUGGUGCUACCCAUUGUUUUAAGCAUCCACUGGGGAUAUUGCAACAUACUCCUUGCAUAAGAGGGAGGACUAUUAUAUUCAAGCAAAAGCAAAGGUUAUGUCCAAAUGAUUUUAUAUUUGAAAUACCAGUAUUAAUAAAAUCAUUAUGAAAUAUCAUAAAUUGAAUACUUUUUUAUAUUUGAAUGAUUUUUGAAGCCAUCAUAUAUAUACACAUAUAUAUGUGUAGAUAGAUAGAUAUACAUACAUACCAGUUUUACAAUCCCAAGAAGCAUGUGGAUGGUGUUACCAUCCCCAUUCUAUCCAGAAGGAGACAAAUCCUCAAAUAAAUUAAAUUUGUCUCAAAUUCAUAUCAAAUUACUUUUCAUGUAUGUCUCCUCUAAAGGAUUGUCUAGGUAGCUUUCUCAAUUUUCUGACCUCCUUCACAUUACAGCAAUGAACUAUUUCAGGAAGCUCCUUUACUUGAAGUAUAAUCCAUAUUUUCAUCUGACUUACAUCAUAUGACUUAUUGACAAGGGAGCUAUUGAGAUGGCUAGUUCAGGGAUUAGUAUUUGAAUCUUUGCUAUGGUGUUACUUCAAGUAUGGCUUUUGGCUAAGAACGUGGAAAAAGGUGAUGGAGUUGUCAAAUACAAAGAUCAAUCUAUAAGAGAAUGUACACCAAAGCAUUCUCUUCAAUGCCGUUUGUUAAUAGGAUAUUUUCUUAAUUCCUUUAAAGAAAAGUCCAUGUGGGUUAGCAUCAUAAAUCUUAACUCAGAAAUAGUAACUAUGCCAGGAUUUCCCAUACCUGCCCCAAGGGUUGAGAAUAGAAAUAAAAUUAUGCUUUAGAUGACAGUGUCAUUUGCAGAGUAUUAUUAUAAGGAUAUCCUGAUAUGUUGAUGGUCUUUAAAAUAUACUUCAUGCUGCAUUGUAUUCAGUUAUAAGUAGUUGCAUUGAGAGUUCAAUGGAGAGUGAGAGGUUGGUUGGUUGUUUUGUGUACUAAUAGCAUUCCUCUCUGCUUUCGUUCUCAGCACUGCCCUUCAUUGUCUUAAUUUCAAUUGUCCACGCUACACUCAUAUCAGUACAGCUAGAUAUUCCUCCUUGCAGACAGGAUUAUUGAACUAAACGGGAAAAGGAAGAGACCAAAUGCUGAAACUAACGAAGCAUCAGCUUUGGCAUCAGUAAGCCAUAACUUACUGACUCCUGAGAGACCUUAGGCACAGAAUUCAACCUCUCUUGUUUUAAUUUUAUCAUAUGAGAAGUAAAGAAAAAUGCAUUAAUUUUCUGUGUGUAGGAAUUAAGUGAGAUUUGAAAAAAAAAGUUAUGGAACAUAUUGUCUAGAUAAGAGUCGAUAGUCAAUAAAAGUGCAAAUUCCAUUUGGCCUUUUCUUUCCUUCUAUGCAUAUGAGAAAGAAUAGAUCUUACCAUAUCCACAAACUACUCACAUAAAUACACACAUGUGCACACACACACUUGGAUCAGGUAAGAAUGGUCCUAGUCUGUGCCCUUCUAAGAACAUGAACCAGUAGUUCUCAAGGGUUCUGAGAAAAAAAUUUCCAACACUUGCAAUAAGCUCUAAUCCCUUAACCCACAGAUGAUCCAUAUUCUGAGUUUCCGUCCAAAACCAAAUCUCCUUCACUCCUGCCUGCCACACCUUGCCUCACUCAUCAGAUAUGCUGAAACACACUGCAGUCCCUGAUGCAUUCUAUGAAAGAGGGUUUUAACUCCUGAUUAUUCAUCCCAGGGGAGAACUAUUUUCCUGAAGUGUGCAUUCUUCUGUAUGUCUCCUUUGUCUUUUACGUAUAAAUUCCCUCUAUGGUCAUAGUAGUCAAUUUAUGCUAACUCCCCUUAACAUUUGUAACUUACAGAUUCCAUGCUGAAUUCUGUCAGGAAAAUUCGUUAGAAACUAAGAUUCAGAACAGGGAGCCCAUGAGCCUAAUAAAUCAGAAAAUAUUAACCAUUUCUUUUCCUUUCAAAUAAUUUCAGAAGUGCACUUAAGACCAACCUUCUCUGUAUGGUAGAGAUGCAAGUUGUCUACAGAUCUAAAUCUUUUGUUGAUAGAGAAUUUUAAACAGGGAUAUACAUAUUAUUUUCCUGUCUCCUUUCUGAAAUUUAAUCUCACUUGUGCUGGCUGGUUGUCGGGAUGGUGUAGUCUGAAGAUUAUUGAACUAAACAGGACAAGGAUAAGACCAAAUGCUGAAACUGCUUUUAUUCUCAGCACUGCCUUUCAUUGUCUUAAUUUCUAUUUUUUUUUGACGUCACUGGACCCUAAAUUUGCUGACUCCUGAGUGACCUUGGGCACAGAACUCAACCUCUCCCACUUUAAUUUAAUCAUAUGGGAAAUUAAAAAAAGGCAUUAACUUUCCUUUAAGCUGUCAUUUCCUAAAGGUUCUACUGGAGUGUCAUAAUCCACAUUGACCUCAAUCAAAUGUCUGUAGGUUAGUAUUUGAGGUUGGAAGAGUCACAUUUUCUAUGUUGCUCCUAUCCAUGUGGCUUCUCAGCAUUCAAUAAUCUAGCUCAGGAUUUUUCACAUGAUCAUGGUGGAGUUUCAGUUACAUCUACAAUGAGAUUUCAUUGGAAUGGGUGUUCUUUUCACGUGAUCUCUUUCUUUUUCUCACCUCCUGGAAACCAGACAUGAUGAUGUAGAAGAUGCAAUUGGCCUGUGUGUACCUUAUCCAUAACUAAAAGAUUAUCUAGUCCCUUGAAAACUUAUGAGGAAUUCAAAUAACCCAGUGGCAUGACCUAGUCAACUCAGGUCAAUUGUUUAAGACACAUAAAUAACUCUUUUCUUCUUUAAGCUGCUGUGUUAUUGAGUCUCCUCAUACUCCUGAAAAAGCACGUGGAAAACAAAUCCAACGUGAAUUCUUGAGUGAGCAACAUAAAGAUGAAACAUAUUAAGUUCAAAAAUUACAGUGUCUAUAACCUAAAAAGAAAAUGUAAAAUAGACACAUUACAAUCAAUGGAGUCCAAAUAGGAGAUGUUUCAGUCAAAUAUCCCAUUACAAAUUAAGGGGUUUAAAACAAAAUGGACAAACCACUAAUGCUAUCUCUAAGGAUGAAAACUAUCCAUGGGAGGUCUUACCUUGAUAUGAAACACCACAACUAUGAAUAAUGAAAUUAAAAAGCCAAUAUAAUGACCUGGGUUAUAAGUUCGUCUUAUGGAAAAUACAAAAUUACCGUCUUCACUCUGAAACCUUAAUGAGAAUAUUGAUUAUUAAAUGAAUUGUACCAUUUUCUUUAUACUUAUUUGUAUAUACCGCAUGGGCAAUUGCAAUUUCUGUGUUUUACAGGAUACUUGAAGUGGGAGAGUUAAGGGAUAACAUUUGAACAUCCCAUAAAACUUGAAUCCUCCUUCUCUGAGGGAUAAUUACCUGUGGUUAUUGAGUACAAUUUGCUAGAAUGUUGUUAGUGUUUUUAGUUGUUUUAGAAAUAGUCUCAAAGCUGUUCCCAGGAAGGUAAGAAAUAGGGAAGAGAUGGGGGGUCUCUCCUUUUUUGACAGUAAUAGAAAUUUCUAAUUCAUUCUCCAGAGGCCAAAUAUGUUAAAUCUAGCCAAAAUUAAUAUCUUAUAAUCUAUUAACUAGGAGAGUGUCCUGGGGGGGGGAAUAAUACAUAUUCAUAUUUUUUUUUCUGGAAGGAGAAUGUGAGAGUUUUAUUUAAUGGUGAAGCUAGCCGCAGAUACAUAUUGUCCAAAAAACAGAAAGAACCAUGUUUUACUGACUGUGCUAAAGACCCUCAUACACUAUUUUGAAAUUGAGUUUUCUUCAUUUGGAAGUGGUUCCAUGGUUUUAAAUUCCCGUUUUCUCACCCAUGGUGUUUCUUAUUAACUCCCCCCCACCCCAUUGUGCUUGCUCAUUUAAUUAUCUCACCUUCUCUCCUGUGUUCCAGUUUCUAAUAGGUUUUCUUUUCACAGCUCACUGGGUACCCCAGAGUUUCUGACAAUAAAAGAGUUGGGCUUCCGCUUAAAGUGUACUAGAGCUGGGAGGGACUCAGGGAUUCUCAAUUGGGACCCCCCUCAUUCUGUUCUCCAGAUCAUGAAAGUGACGUGCAAGAUGGGGAUAGCUCUGUCUAAUGUCAUUAAAUAAUGUGUGCCUGAGGGAGGAGCAGAUUCCAGGGCCCAGCAGGAAUCAUCAGCAGAGACAUGUUAUCAGCAUGAAGCCUCCACUGGCUUUUCCUUUCUGAGUUAACACGGCCCUGAAUGUAAUAUUUCGCAACUCUCCAAUAUGAACACUCAAGAGAAGCAAACGCUUCCCUCAUUUUAAAGAACAAUUCCCAGUACGUUAAAAUGAUUAGAAAAUGAUGACUAAAAACAAAAACAGAGGACGACUUUUCCUCUUUGUGACCUUGGUUGUCAUUUAUUCUUACCUACUCAAAUCCUAUCCUCAGGAGAGCUACACCUAACAAUCUAGAAUGAUUUCUUCUUUUCUGUAAUUCCUAGAACAGAAGGAACCAUUCACUUCUUGUGUGGCAGUGAAGUGAGAAUUUUUUUCUCCCUUCUAAAAUGCUUUUCAGUUUCUCUAGAUUCUUCUUUGACUUUUCAUCCAUAGACAGUCUCUUCCCUUGAGCUGGAAGCCAGGCCUUGUGUAAGGUAUUGAUUUCUCCAUAAUUCAUGAGUGGAGGAAGCUGACAUUGGUUGAGUACUUAUUAUGUGCCAAGAAUUUUAUGGAUAUAGUUUAAUUUAAUCUUUAUGAAAACCCUUGAGAUAGGACUUAGUACCCCCACUUCACAUAAGAGGAAAACUAAAGCACAAAGUUGAGAUGAGAGAACUCCUCUAGGGCUGGGGUUGGGGCUCAGUGGUAGAGUGCUCACCUAGAAUGGGUGAGGACCUGGGUUAGAUCCUCAAUCCUCAGCACCACAUAAAAAUAAAUAAAAUAUAAAGAUAUGUCCAACUAAAAGAUAAAUAUUAAAAAAGUAACUCUUCUAAGAACUAAAAUUUAGUGAACAACAGAACAGUCAUUUAAACCAACCUCAUCUAUCUCCCAACAGUACUGCUUUUCCUAAUUCUGUCAGCAUUUUGUCUUUACAGUUUGUCAUACUCUAGGAGAUUAAUGAACUCUUAACUGUAAGAAUACUUACAAUUUUUAGAAUUUAGAAUGGAUGCAUAUAUAUGUGUGUGUGUGUGUGUGUGUAUAUAUAUAUAUAUAUAUAUAUAUAUAUAUAUAUAUCCUCAUUCAUGACUGUAAACUGUAAGCUUCUAAGCAAGCUGAAUACUUACAAAUGCAGUCUUUAAAGAAUUGAUUUUAUUUUUUGGUCAGUAUUUCUUUAAAAAAAUACUUACUAUGAGCAGUAUCUAUGUGUAUAGUACAUAUCUAAUUUAUGUGUUGAAAUGGAAGAAUAUGCUCAAACCAGGAUGCUAGCCAGUUCUCAGAGAAUCUACCAGUUAUUCCAUGCAUUGCCUAAAAAUAGUUUUCAAUGCAAGGGUUAACACAAAAAACUAUAACAAAGACAGUAAGUGUAGCAUUUUUUUUCUUAGAUAUGAGAAGGGCCAUUUAAACAAGAAAUAAUUUUAACCAAGAAAAUGAACCUAAUAUAUUGGCAAAGUAACUCUUAAAAUGGUCGUGUUCUGCCAGCAGACAUUGUGACUGAUUGUGACAUACAGACAACAAACAUGAAGCUUACAAAAACAUAAUGUUCUAAAAUAGAACCAUUUAAAAACAAAUCUUUGUUGUUAUCUACCUAACCUCAAGCAUGCUAGAUAUUCCGAAGUAUGUUCAGACAUAUCAUUCUGUUAAUCUUAUUUUAUUUUAUUUGGUAAUGGGUAUUGAGCACAAGGGAAUAAUAAAUUAUUAACCAGUGAGCCACAUCUCUAGCCCUUUGCAUUUUUAUUUUGACACAGGGUCUCACUAAGUUGCUAAGGCUGGCUUCAAACUUGCAAUCCUCCUGCAUCAGCCUCCUGAGUCCCUGGAAUUACAGACAUCCACCAUGGUGUUCAGCUCAUCCAAUAAUCUUAAAAGUUGUGACAAUUUAUAGCCACCUCUAAAUAUUUCUGCAAAUGUGUUUACAUUUGAAAGCUGGAAUAACCUAGGCAGAGUUGCGGGACUUUUUCUAGGAGAAGAAAUGAAGUCAAGAGGAAGAUUCAGAAAAGAGGUUCAGUAUGUAAGGCAAAGCUUAGUUAAUCACAUGUUGAACAACAUUUUAGAACAGAGGAAAGAUUAAAUCAAUCAAUCCAGGGAUGAUUCCUAAAACACAUUUUUUAACAUCAAUUUAAAUGAUCAUGAAUUAUUUUAUUUCAUAUUUAGUAGCUGGGCAUGAGAAUAGUGGCAGUGGAAAUGCAAACAAAUCCAAUAAACAUUGCCCAUCUUUAGCAAACAGCAUUAGGGAAUGCAUUCAGAAAGUGUUGCACAUUAUAUUACCUGUCUCAUCAUGUUUAAUAAUUGCAGUAUCAGAGGUUGUCCAGUAUUUAAGAAUAGAAAUAUAUAUGCAAAUUAUUAGAGUUUUCUUAAAAUCACAUUAAUAAUAGUGGCUUGUCUAUAUACAUAAUCCAUUAAUAUUCAAUGACAAUGAUUGAUAGUAAUGUAUCAUAUCAUAAUGCCAUACUUCAUUAAAGAGAUUUUUAUUCUCCCUAUUCUCUAACAAAUAUUUCAAUAAUUUAUUUAUUAAUAAAAUAUCUUGCAUAAUACAGGGACCAGAUCUAAGAUGAUAUGAACAAAUAGCAAGUGCCUUUGCAUGAUGGACUUUCCGUCUAAAUCAAGACCUUUCUGAGAAAGGUGGGAGCUGAAAGAGAGGCCUCAAGCCUCAAGAUAGUAAUAUUAAGGGAAGCAGUUUGAGGAGAUGAUGUUUUAAUACUGAAUUACAUUUGUUUAUUUAGCUACUUUGCAGUAAUACCAUUUGUAUUCAAAGAGAGAUGCCUUCGUAAUAUUUUACAUAUAUUGUUAACUUUCUACAGUUGUAAAAAUAUCAUCACUAAUAGACUUUGUUCCACUGCACUGAUCUCUGCCUGCAUCUCAGAGGAAGAACCUAGCCAAGAGCCAGCAUUGGACAGAUACUUACUAGGUCUGAAUUAGCACAUGAACUCUGGGAUUACCUAAGUCAAUAAUUUACCAUGCUCUCGGGGCACUCACAGCCUGGGGCACCCCACAAAGUGAGUUGAGAGCUUAUUCCAAGAAGAAAUUGCAUCCAUCUUAUGUAAACUUUCCCAGCCGUCACCUCUCAGCAUGCCACACUCUGCAGUGACAUUCACUCAGUUGUUCUCAGGGUGUGCAAUGACUGUAUACUAGAAGCAAUCCUGGACUGCUGAGUUCUGUCCCUCAGAACUUCCUUCUUUCCUUCUACUUUAUUUUCCUCCUCUUCUUCCCUCUCCCUCUCUCUUUCUUGCUGUCCUUCUGCCAUCUCCUCCUUUGUCUCUUGUCCUUUCCUCUUUCCAUUCUUUUCGAAUGCAGAUAUUUAUGGAUAAAACAUAGCAUGAAUCCUAGAAGCUCAGUAUUGCUGAUGCUGACACACGACAACUCAUACAACAAAGUUGUGUAUCACUGACUCAUAAGUUAUGAAUAGCAGUUUGAAUGCCAACAGAAAAGGUAGAAAGAUGAUAUUAGAAAAAAAAAUAAAUUCAUCAAUAUUCAAUGGCCAUCACUUGAAUUCUUAAGCUCUCCUUCCACAAGGAAAUAAAACUGCCUAUUUGAAACACAAAGGAAUAAAUAAACAUAAUCUGAGUGAUAGGUCUGAUAAAACAGUCGGUUUGUGCCAAUGUCUGAUCCUAAUUCUUGGACCCCGCAUCACUCCAUAUAGUGGGUGAAACAUGACCAUAACUAUGUAUUGUUUUCUUGUGUAUAUUUGUAGAAUUUUAAUGUAUAUUCCCAUUACCAUAGUAAGCAUAUGUUCAGCAUAAUUUUAAAUAAAAGUGAAAAUGACAUAUUUCCAGAGUGGUUUAUUGAUAGCUGUCUUCCUUUAAAAAUAAUUCCAAGAAAUGUAUAUUUGAUCCAUGCAAGUCUAGUACAUAAUAUAUAAUAAUAGUUGUGUGAGCGAUUUCUAUAGUUAAGCAUUACCUACUCUUCUUGAUUGAUUAAAAUAGCAGCAGCUACCAGGAAUACCCUGCAGACCAUCCAAGUUUCUGUUGUUGGUGGUAUUUUUUUUCUAUUCCAAAAGAUGUUUUAUGUUUUUUUUUUUUAAUAAUUAUUUGGACGGAAAGUAGAAGAUGAAUCUAAAUAGUACAUUAUUUCAAGACCAUAAAGUUAUUUAUAAAGUAUUGGUAUCCUAUCUUAGUCAUGAAAAGCUUAGACAGUCAUAAAUCAUCUGGUCUUUGGAUCAAUGAUUUUGUUGCCAGGAACUCACAUGAUAACAUUAUUUUUACACAAUGAUACAUUUAUAGAAACAACAAGAAUUAGAAAUUACAUUGUUAAGAAAAAGUGACAAUUUUUUAAAAUUUAUAUACCAUAUUAAUUUCUCUGUUUAAAGAUAUGAAAAUCUUUGAGAAUUAUGGCAUGGAAAUUCUAGGAAUAGUCUCAUAUCUACCCUCAAAAAUAUUAACCACUCUAUUCCCAGAAAUGGGUUUUAAAUGACUCUUGGGCCUAGAUUGACUGUUGAGUAUUGAAUCAUAAUAUGUACUUCACAAAAGAACACUGAAGUUUAGGACACUGUGGUCCAGAUCACAUCAUAUUUGAUUGUUUCAAGGCCAUCAGUUUGUAACUAUGUUAACAGUUAUUUUACUCAGUGAAAUGUAAUAAUGCAAAAAUCAGUAGAAUAAUGAAACAUUCUAAUUGCAGCAACCCUGGACUGCUGAGUUCUGUCCCUCAGCCUCCCUCAGUCUUCUGCAAGGACCAAAUCAGCAUUAGUUGAACUUCAGUGCUCCAAGCAACCAGUUUGAGAUCCAAUAGUGCAGAUUAUAGUGUAUCCACAGGAGUUUGGGAUAAGAUUAUAACACUCCUUUCCACAUGGUGGUGUCAAGUAUUUUCUGGCCAUUUAAAUUUAAAAUAAUUAAAAAUUGAGAUAAAAUUAUAGUUUUGUUGCCUUGGUGGCAUGUUAACUGUUCAGUAGCCACAUGUAACACAAGGAUACUGUGUUAGACAUCAUGCAUAAAGCACAGCUCUAUCACAGAGAGUUCUUCAGACAGCAAAGUGAGCUUUACAACACAAAAAACCUCUUACUUAUCAGCGCAUACCCAGCACUUAGCACAAGCCAUAGCCCAUGCACGGGAGAUUUAUUGGAGAAAGCAGGUACAUAGCUAUAAAUACUGUGUGUGCUCCAAGGAAACAAGUAGGGAAAUGCAUCCAAAGCUUGACCUGUAUGACCUUAAAAGGAUUUUUCUAAAUGAUGCCAAAUUAAUGGGUGGGGGUGUAAAAAUGUGUAGUUGUCUAUAUUUAAACCUGCUAGAGUUAUUGGGAAAAGACUGUAGGUCCCUGUUUGCCUAGAAUACAAUAUAUACAUACAUAUAUAUAAAAUAUAUUAUAUAUUAUAUACAUAUAAUGUAUAUAGACAUUAUAUAAUAUAGAAUAUUCUGUAUAGAAUAGUCAUUAGAUAUAUUCUCUAUAUAUAAAGAAAUAUAUAUAUAUAUAUAUAUAUAUAUAUAUAUAUAUAUAUAGAGAGAGAGAGAGAGAGAGAGAGAGAGAGAGAGAGAGAGAGAGAGUAAUCUAGGGUCUCAGGAAAGGCAGUUCAAUGUGCCUAUUUCCCUGAAACUCUGAGUAUGCAAAUGUAACACCUUUAAGCAUUUUCUCUGCCUCAUACACAUUCUGUUCAACCACAUUGGCAGCAGGUGGCUUUAGCAGUGUUUCUCAGGUCAUUACUCUAAAGACUGUUCUGUUUUUACAACAUCUACUUUUACCCUUAUCACUUCAACUGUGCCUGUGUUCAGAUGCUUCUGCUGAACUCCAGAUUCCUGCUACCUAUAGGACAGCAGAGCUUGCCUGAUCUUGGCACCUAGAAGGCAGGGCAGAGGGCAAGUCUGCCUUAUUCAAAAAUGUGUAUUUGACUGACAGGUCUUGUGAUGUACUCACACAUGUUUUUUGAACUCACUAAAACUAGUACUUUCAUCUUCUUUGUAUUGAUUGCUUUCCCAUCAAACUUAAAAGCUCAUAGUAAACCAGGUAAAGAGUUUCCAUAAUGGGUCAGAAAAACAAAACCAAAUAAUCAAAUAAAACUGAAAGCUACCUACUCCAAAUCAUUAAGUUGAGCUCAAUAUUUUGUUGUAAAAAAAGCAACAACAUCAACAACAAUGAAAGCAACAAUUAUUUUGUCCAAAGCAGGAGAGAAAAAUGGGAACAGAAGAAUUCAAGGAUGGAACCUAGAGAAAGGAGUGGCUUUGUUGUAGACAUGGAAUUCUAUUUGCAGCACAUUCUCUGGUGCUUCAAUCUGGAUUGCUCACUGGUGAUAUUAUGUGGUGUGAUAUCUGGAGCAGUGCAUUGAGAAGAAGCUGCAGAUGGACAAAUGCAUGUACUUUGUUAGGACAUGAAUAUAAACAGCUACAAAAAGCCCCAGCAAAUGCAGAAUAGUGUGUCUCUCCAAUGCUCCAUGGGACCUCAAAUAUCUCAUUUAACCAUAGAUAAUUUACAUUCUCCAAUGGCCCCAGGGUAAUAUAUUCUCACUGAACUAGCAUUUAUGUAUCUUUAAAAUCCAUAAAGCAGAUUAUAACAUAAAGGCCAUCAUUUCAUAUUAAAAAGAGUAGAAGAGAAUUCCAAAUGUCUUGCCAUGAACUAAUAAGAUGAAUGAAAUUUGGAGUGGCAUUAAGCUAAAUUACAUAGAGCUUAAAGCUCAGAUAUACGAGAAGUUAAAUCUAUUACUUUGGUUUCUAUAGAUCUCCAGUACUCAUACCAAAAUGAGAAGGUAAAUCCUUGCCGUAUUUGUUAUAGUUUUUCCAUUGUUCCUUCUUGUUCUUUUCUCAGGAUCAUGCAGUUGAAUGGCAACAAAUCUACUUUCUUUCAAAGUCAAAAUGAUUUAGCCUCUAGCCACACAAAAGCAAAAUGAAUUUUAGCAGAUCAGUGAGGUCUAUAGAGAGUUUUUCACAACUAAAUACUUCUAAACAUUUAAAGAAGAAUUAAUACCUAUUUUUUUUUUUACAAAUUCUCCUCGAAAAAUACAAAAAGAAGAUAAACUUCUCAAUGCAUUUUUAAAGACAAUGUCAUCCUAAUACCACAACCAAAGAUGUCACAAGAAGACAACUAGCCAAAAAGAUUUUUUUAAAAAUAUGGCAAGAAUAUAUUAAGCACAAUGUUAGUAAACCCUAAUCAGUAGCAUAUAAACCAAAUUAUAUACUAUGAGCAAGUGAGAUUUAUUCCUGGGAUACAGUGUUGAAUCAAUAUCCAGAGGUCAGUUCAUUUAAUAUACUAAUAAAAUAAAAACAAAGUCAUAUGCUUAUCUCUGUAGAGCAAAAGAAGCCCCCGAUAUUCUCUCAUUAUAAAAAUAUCUGACAUACUAGAUAGAAAGGAAUGUCUUCAGUCUACUAAGGGACAUCUACAACCCCACAGCUAGCAUUAUAGUUCAUGAUGAGAGAUGGAUGCUUCCUCCUCAGACCAAGAACAAGUCUGAGAAGUCUUAUCUUGCCAAUUAAAAUCAACAUUGUCCUGUUAUAGUUAGGAUAAACAAGCAAGAAAAAAAAUAAAGUCAUCCAGAUUAAAAAGCAACACAUAAACCUAUCUCUAUUUAGUGACAACAUGAUCUUGUACACAGAAACUCUAAAGGAACACACGUAAACACUAUUAUAAUGUCCAAAUAAAUUUGGCAAAUGUUUAAGAUACAAGAUCAGUAUACCAAAAUCAAAUGCGUUACUGUAUACUUACAAUCAAAAAUGAAAUCAAGAAAAUUUCAUCUAUCAAUACUUUAAAAUAAUGAAAUAUUUAGGAAAUAUUUAACAAAAGACAUGCAAAAACAUACUCUAAAUACUAAAACGUGUUUAAAGAAAUCAAAGACUAUCUGAAUAAUUGUAAAAAACAGUUUAUAUUCUUGGGUCGGAAGACUUAACAUUGUUAAAAUGGCAAUACUCUCAAAAAUUGACACAGAUUCAAUUAUGUCCUCAUUAGAAUCCUAGAUGACUUCUUUUUAUAAGAAUUGACAAGAUGAUUUUAAAAUUGAUAUGGAAUUGUGAGGGACCGAGAAUAACCAAAACAAUUUUGCAAGAAGAACAAAAUAGGACUCGAACUUCCUUAGUUAAGUUUACUAUGAAGCAGGGGUAAUCAAGUCAGCAGAAUACUGGUCUGAGAAGAGACGUACACAUAAAUGGAAUAGAACCAACCUAUUCCAGAAAUAAACCCACAUAUCUAUGGUCUAUCAGUUUUGGAUAUGGUACCAAGAUCUUUCAAUAGGUAAAGAAAUAUUUUGAGCAAAUGUUGCUAAGAAAACAGUAUAGCUACCUGCAAAACAAUGAAGUUGAACCUUCAACUCCAAUCAUGUAUAAAAAUGUUACUGAAAAUAAAACACACAUAUAAAUAUUACAGACAAACACAUACAAUGUUUACAAGAAAGCAUGGGGGGAAAUCUGCAUCACUUUGAGCUUGGCAGAGGAAUCUUUUAUAUAACACCAAAAUCAGGGGGAACAACAACAACAAAAAGAUGAUUGUAUUUAGUCUAAAUUAAAAUCUGUUGUGAUUGAAAUAAUCCUAUCAAGAAAAUGAGUGAAAAGACAACCCACAGAAUGGGAGAAAAUAUUUGCAAAAUAUUUAAAAAUUAUAUAUCUGAUAAGACACAUGUAUCCAGAGUAGUUAAAGAAUUCUUGUUAUAGUGAUAGUUGUACAUAUCUGUGAAUAUCCAAAUAGCAAUGGAAUUGCACAAUUUAAAUAGGAUUAUUGUAUAAUAUGUGAAUUAUAUCUCAAUUAAAUUUUUAAAAGUGAAGAAAAAUAAAUAGUAAUUUAUACGGGAACUGGCUAACAAAAUGAUGUAGAGAUUGAUAGAACUAAAGAAAAUUUGAUAAAAAAUAAGAAUUUUAUGGAAGAAGAAGGUAACAAUGAGUCCCACUAUUAUAUGUAAUAAGGGAUAUGCCAGUCUUGCCUACUGUAGCCCCAGUUUGGAGAGGUAUUGCUCUAGGGUGUUUCCCUUGGUUGUAUAAGGAAGAGGUAAAGAAUUGCUCUCUUGCUUGUCACUAAACCUUGUCCUAAUCUAUUCCUUUUCUUCACUCUUGUCCCUCAGAUCAGUUUUUCACUAUUACAUAUAGUGGGACUCACUGUUACAUUCUUUUUAAAGAAAAAUAAUUUCUUAAGACUGUAUCAAUGAGCCCCAUUAUUAUAUAUAAUUAUAAGGUACAAUAAAAUACGGGAAAAAUCCAUAAUAAUUAUUUCUUUGGGUAGCUUUAAAUUAUAUUCCCCACACUUUUCAAACGUAGCUAACUUUUAAGAUUACAUACCCAAAUCUGUUUGGUUUUCAUUCUGGUUCUCUUUCAAUUCCAUAUGAAUUUUAAACCAUAUUGCCAAUUCCUGUAGAAUUCUUUCCCAAACCAUCAAUUUGGUCUUGUUAUGCCUCAGUUUUAUUUUAAACUUAAUAUGAAGCAAUAGCAUUAUGUACUAAAGUACAUUGCAAAAAAAAAAAUUAAACUGAAUAUAAUUUGAAUGUCUAAGUUAGGGGAAUGUAUAAUUAAAGUGGUACACUAACAUUAUUGAAACAUAUGGUAAUAUAAAAACUAUUAUUACUAUUAUGAUUCUCAAAACACAGGAUUAUUCUAAUAUAUUGGUAAAAAGUAGAAGACAAAAUUGUACAUAUUUUAUCCUUACUAUAUCAGGUGGGUAAAAUAUUUAAUAAGUAUAAUAGCUACCAAUAGUUGUGUUAGUUCUGUAUUUGAGGAUGUAAUAGAAGCUUUAGAGAUGUUAUAAAGCUAAUCACUAAGACAUUAAAUAUCAUAGAUUUUAAGCCAGGCAUGGUGGUGCAUGCCUGCAAUCCCAGAAGCUUGGGAGGCUGACGUAGGAGGAACAUAAUUUCAAGGCCAGCCUCAGCAACUUAGUGAAGCCCUAAGCAAAUUACCAAGACCCUGUCUAAAAAAUAAAAAUAAAUAAAUAAUAAAAAGGGGUGGGAAUGUUGCUCCAUGGUUAAGCACCCCUGGGUUCAAUCCCUGGUUUAAAAAAAAAGCCAUUAAUUUUAAGAUGUAUGAUCAAAUUAACAAUAACUCUUGGAAAGAAGGGAAGGAGAAAAUGAAGCAACACAUGCUAAAUUCAUGCAAAUCAAUCACAAAAUUCCUUUUGAUUUUAGAUUUAUAAUUUCUAAUCAAAAUAUCAAAAACUGCAUUUUCCUAAGUUAAUUGGGUCAGCCUUUUUUUUCCCCAAACUUUUCAUGAGGUUAAGUUAGACAGUUGUUAUGAAAGGACAUUUGUUAUGUCCUUUCAAAAUUCAUAAGCUGAACCCUUAACCUUGAAUAUGUAUGUAUUUGAGAUACAGCUCUUGGUAGAUAAUUAAGGUUAAAUGAAUCUGGUUCUAACAAUAGAACUCAUUGCCUUAUAGGACAAGGGAUAUAGAUCCUUCCUCUUCCUCUGACUCUACCUUUCCUCUCUCCUACACCACCCCCCACUACUGAGUUAAGGCUAUGUUUGAAGACAUGUUGCAAAGGCAGCUAUCUAUAAACCAGGAAAAGAGACCUUACCAGAAAUCAAAUUGACUGGCACCUUGAUUUUGAGCUUUGUAACCUCUAGAAUUUGUGAGACAUUUCUUUUAAGUCACAUGAUCUGUUGUAUUUUUUAUGGUAGCCCAUGGCUAACAUAAUUUGUACUUAGAGUUGUAAUUUUGCAGGGGAGAAGGGUCUUCACUCAGUCUUAGGACCUUUUGACAUCCUUGAUGAUUGUUCUUGUUAAAUAGGCAUCACUCCUUGUUAGAUAUGAGGCAGUGAAUUUUAUCAACUGCAUAGUCACAUAUCCAUCCAUCAAUCCAUCAUGGGGUACCAUACAGAACCACUCUCCUAAGCAUAUGUUGACAAUCUAAUCCUUAAUGUAUUCAGAGGGAUGUGUGGGAGAUGAUUAUCUUGGAGAGUGAAUAAAAUUAGUGCCCUUUUAAGAAAGACACCAGAAAGAUGAUCCCCCUUCUCAUCUUGUCUUGCUCUGUCAUGUGAGGAUACAACACAUUAUAUGUGGACCAGAAAAGUAGCUUUCACUAACAACUAAAACAGCUGGCACUUUGAUGUUGGACUUCCUAACCUCCAGAACUGGAAUAAAUACCUUUCUGUUGUUUGCACCACUUUGGCUAUGAUAUUUUUAUUAUAGCAGCCAGAACUGAUGAAGCCAUACAUCAGUUGGACAAUGUAUAUAAUAGAACUCUAACUACUCUGCUGAUUGAAAUUUCUACCUUCUAGUAUUUUUUCAGGGGAGGUGUGAGUCUACAUUUAAGCCAAACAAAAACAUCACCUUGUUCUUUGAUUUUUGUUUGCCCUAUUUUUUGAUAAGCUUGAGUUCAGGACCCCCAAAAGACCAUAAGAGACCAAGAUCGAUGUAAGUAGCAAAGAGGCAUUUAUUGCAAGCUAGCUCCAUCCUCCGCAUGCACACAGCAACUGGUGACGCUGAGAGGCCCUGAGCUCAGGGUUUGCAGCAGUUUUAUACACUCUUAGGGGAAGGGAGGGACUUUACAUACAUCAUAGUAUAUCUCAGCAAAUCAUCACACACCGCAGGAAAAUUAUAAAACAACUCUAAAACAUGAUUAGCAUAUUCACUGGUGGGAACAAGUGGGUAAGAGUGAUUAGUUAGUACAACAGGGGGAUUCAUUUGAACUGAUUGGUUUAAGCCGCUUGGGGAGUACAGAGUACAUGUUGAACUACAUAGUUUCCCAACAUGUUAUCAACCACCAUAAACUAUUGGGAGGGUCAUCUGGUAUCCCAGGCAUUUUCACUGUCUCAUGCUGAUUGGUGGCUGCUAGGAGGUUGCUAUGGGUCCUCACCUAGCCUGACUGAGUCAGGGACACCUGGCGCCACAGAUCUCUCCUGUUAUUUGCAGACAAACAACUCAGCAGGGUGGGUAUGUGCCUAGGAGUGCUCUGUGGGUUUUUCCAAGGACAAGGGCCACACCCUUUUCCUUAGACAGGCUUUGCUCUGAGGUAGAGGCUAGUUCUCAAAAAUGGAGUCACAUCAGUUUCUCAAUUUUCAUUGGCUUUUCUCUUCCUUUUUCCUUCAAUUGAAUAAAUAAAAUUAAAUACACACAAAAAAACAUACUACAGACACGCAUUCACACAUAUUCAACUUGUUGACUAAAAUUCUGUGUUACAUGAUGUACUAGUGAUUGCACUAGGCAUUUUUGACAUACCACAUUUUACCUUCAGAUAACAUUUCAUUAGGUCAUUGAUAAUGAUAGUGAGACGGGGGAUGAAAAGGACAAUCAGUGUAAAUAAUAAAUAAUUGGGUCCUAUGGGGAAGAUGGGGACAGGUUAGAAAGGAAUUCAAAUUCUAAUACCUCCAGAGCUGUCCCUCUUCUCCUCCACCUGUUGCUGUGGUAACCUGCACCCAGGGACUUUCCUUCCUUGCAAGGGGCUGUUAAUGAAUGUCACCUGAGCUGUUCUCUUUCUAUCCUGUCCAGGAUCACUCCACCUUUGAUUCCCCUUUUUGGGUCACUUAUCAUGUAGGCAGGAUGUAGGGUGGAGGGGUGCAUGAGAACCAAGGAAUUUUAAAAUGUAUGAGAGCAGCAGGACAACCCCAGUUCUUUGGAUACCAGCUCUGGAUCCCCUUCUCUGUAGAGAAGUCUAUCUCUGUUCUAUCCUUUAAAUAAAACUUGCUUUCUAUGCUUGCCUCAGCGUUUCUUGUGUGCUCAAUAUUCACAUCCUGGGAAUUGGAAGUUGGCCCUGUUUGAUUCUCCUCAUCACCAGUGGCAUCAAUAGGACCUGCUGUAUUUGGAUGCUAUUUCAGUGUGACUCCAAAAUCUUUGUUUAUUGGAAACUUGGUCUCCAGAGUGGGAAAGUUGAGCAGGUUGGAACCUUUAAAAUUGGGGGCUUCGUAGAAGUGAGGUGCUGUUCUCUUUAGGGUCAAUGUAGAUCUUUGGAGAACACAGUGAGUUCCUGUCAGAGUGGAUUUUCAUGAAAAGAGCUCUAUCUCUGCUCUCUCUGACUUCCUAUCAUGUCAUGUGAUGUGUUCUUAUCAUUGUGACUCCAUCUGCCAUAAGAGAACUUCACUAGAAUGAGCACAAGCCAAUGCUAUAUUUACAUGGUCUCAAAGCUCUCUUAAAAAAAGUCCCCAGCUUCAGGUAUUUUGUUAUAGAAAUGAAAAAACGAUUAAUACAGUACCUUACAAAUUAUGACUCCACUUCACUUUCUCUCGACAUUUUCUACUUCAGGGCAUGCAUUUUAUUUCUACACAUGUUAUAAACCUAAUAAGACAUCAACAUUGUUUUCUGUUUAAAGAGUCAACAGUAAUUAAAUGAAGCUUGAAACAUGCAAAAAUUUCCUCCUUUUCUAACUACACAUUUCUCCUUUCUCAGGCUCUUUAUUCCUUCCUGCAAACUGGGACUUCUGAUACCACAGCCCUUAAUAAUAAAGCUCUGCAAUUAUUCACGACAGAUUAUCUCAAGUUAUUCUCAAAAUAUCUUUAUUUUCCCUUCACUUUUUAAGUGUACUUUCAUUGUCUAUAGAAUUCUAGGUUAUAAUUUUUUCUAAUUUUUUUUUUUUAGUAUUAGAGAUUGAACUCAGGGGUGCUUAACCACUGAGCCACAAACCCAGCCUGUUUUCUUUUUUUAUUUUGAAACAGGAUUUCACUAAGUUUCUUAAGGUCUCUCUAAAUUGCUGAGGCUUCCUUUGAACACGUAAUCCUCCUGCCUCAGCCUCCCUAGUUGCUAGGAUUCCAGGUGUGCACCACUGCAACUACCAUGAUAUUAUUUUUAUUUACUUUCAUCACUUUGAUUUCUGUUCUACGUUUUUUCCUUUGAGGAGAAGUCAGCUGUCAUUCUUACCAUUGCUUUUCUGAUUGAAAUGUGUCCUUUUUCACUGAUUUAAAAUUUUCUCUUUCUCUUUAAUUUCUGGCAUGCUACAGAUCAUAUGACUAGAUUUCUUUAUCUUUGUGUUUGUCCUGAACGAUAUUUGCCAAGGUUUUGCUUUAUUUUUAUUGAUGCGUUAUAACUAUACCUACAUGGGAUUUAUUUGCCCAUAUUUGUUAAUGCAAGUUGCAUCACUUGAUUGAUCUCAUUCUUCAUGCCAAGGUUUGUUGUUGUUGUUGUUUGGUUGGUUUGUUUUCCUAUACAGUAAUAUAUUUCAUCAGGUUUUAAAAACAUUAGCUGCUAUCUUUUCAGGUAUUUCUUUGGAUCCAUUUCCCUUAGCUCUAAUUUGGGAACCUUACUUUGACAUUUUCUAAAACUCUUCUAUGGAUCUUGAAAGCGUUUUCUCUUUGUGUUUCAAUCUGGCCUUUUUCUGUGAACCUGUCUUAAAGUUCAGAGCUCGCUAUGGACAGACUUUAAGGUGGUUUCCAUGAGUUCCUCUUCGUGGAAUUUCCACCUUCCUGUAACCCUUUUUCUUGAGCCCGUGCGUGUGGUUGGAACCUAUGCCUUGCUUCUCUCCCCUGUGAAUAUGAUACGUGAGAGUUGUCUCCAUCGUGUUUGGGUCCCUCUCUCUCUCCAUUGAUCUCCUUCUGCCACCUCCUUCAUCCAUUGCUGGUUGCAGACUUUGAAGAAGAAAUAUGUCAUGAACCCUACACUUGUGAGGACAUUAACUGUUCAAAACCCGAGGAAUCUUGGAGGCAGAUCUUUUUCUUAGAGGAGCCAGUGAGAGCAGCUGUGUGAGUCCCUAACCUGAAGAACCAUCUAACCCACACUCCAAUUCCUGCCUCAAGGAACACAGGAGCUAAUAAACACACCUUGCUUGAAGCAGCUAUCCUGGUGACAAGUGUACAGAGCAGUAGAAAACUAAUACAAUGUCACUUUCCUCUAUUUGAUCAACAUGGUGCUCAAUUCCUCAAAUGAGUCCUUUUUUCCUGACAUCUUCUGUUUUGACUUUUAACUUUCUCCUUUUCUAUUCCAUCUGAAAUUUUUCCAUCUGUUCCUGCAUGGGAUCUACCAUUUCCUGGAUCUUUUAGUUUGUCACUUUUCAUCUGAAAUAAUCUGUGAUAAUUCUGAUAUCUGGCUAUUUAUAUGUCUACUUUUAUCGUCUAUACUCUCUUGACUUUGAAUAGAGUUUCCCUGUUUUGUUGUCUGAUAUGCAUUUUUAUUGCAUGUAAGACAGUAUGUAUACAGUAGAGACCAAAAUAUUUAUAAUUUAACUGCAUUGAGGUGUAGGGCCUACCUUGGUCCCUUUUCCUUUGAGAUGACUAUUGUGGAGACUGAGUCUAAUCUGUAAAAUGUGUGAGGAAUUUGUGGUAGUUUUGGUUAGAUUCAGUUCACUAGUGGCUAAAAUAUUCUGAAGACAGGCUCAGUGCAUCUAAUUCAACAGGGUGUCUGAUGAGCAAUGGCACGGCUCUGGGUACCUGUAUAUACUCUUCUUCAUAGAUACCCGUCUUCUGAGACCUGGAAGUCAUCCUGUUGGAACACUACAGAGCUCUCUCUCUCUCUCUCUCUCUCUCUCUCUCUCUCUCUCUCUCUCUCUCUCUCUCAUUUGGAGGCAGGUACCAGGGAUUAAACUCAGGGGCACUUCACCACUAAGCCACAUCCCCAGCCCUCUUUUGUAUUUUAUUUAGAGCCAGGGUCUCACUGAGUUGCUCAGCAUCUCUAUUUUGCUGAGGCUGGCUUUGAACUCACAAUCCCCCUGCCUCAGCCUCCUGAGCUACUGGGAUUACAGGCCUGAGCCACAGAGCCCGCCUCUUUGUUUCUUUAUUCCCCAUCAUUAACUUUCACUUUCUACACCUGCUGAUGUCUUUCUGGUCUUUUGCUCAGACACUGAAGUUACCUGGUUACUAUUAUUGGCAAAGAAUCAGUGUCCUUUUGAAGGACUACGCAUGUUCUACUACUACCCCUAACAUCCUGAUGCCCCGAGCCUUCCUUCUUGAUGAAGGAUUCUGGUGCCUCAGUUCUCUCCUUCUGUCUCCUCCAUACUUUGUGUGGCACCUUGAUAAAUUCAGUGAAGGAACAGGAGGGAGUCAGCGAGUGUUUUCAUGCUUACCCCUCCUCUGAGGUUCCUAAGUGGCCUUCAAAACUGUGACAAAACUGUGGCAUUUUUCUUCCAACUGCUCUCCACAGCACUUCCCACCAAUGUACUCGAAUGAAAACACGAGUGAAUCCCUACUUUCCUGGGAAGUUUUCAUCAUUUUAUGCAUAAACCUUAACUUUUUGAUUUUUCUAAUGUUGUUUUGUAUCAUGACCAAGUUGACACCAUGAUUAGAGUAGGAAAAAAUGCACUUUUAACUUUUCAAAGUUUUUAAUCGGAAGUAUUGAGGCAAUGCAGGAAUUAGAAACUCUAUGUGUCUAUUGCCAAAAUUGUCUCUUUACAGUACCCUAAAAUGCCCUCUACAUUUCCCAAACUCUUACUUUCAAAAAUCAAGCAAGAGUGAAGGAACAGAGGUUACAUUACCUGUACUAUUUUGAGAUAGUGAUGUAGGAUAAAAAGAGAGAUACACUGAAUUUUAAAGGAAAUGCCCUCAAGCCAUUGAGAUGCACAGUUGUAAAUCCUGAGCAACAUGCCCUUGGCCCAUGCCCUUGUAAAAUGAGGGGACACACAAGCACAGGGAACACCGGUGGGAAAUUGUGCUUUUCUGCUUGGCUCCACCUCCAAUUUGGCCCCCAAUACAAAAUCCUUCUACAAAUAUUCAAUUCCCCACACAAGUCAGGGCUGCUACUACUCUCAAUAGUCCUCAUGCUAUUAUUUUUUUUUUGUAUUUAGAGUUUUUGUAUUUAGAGUUUUUUGUAUUUAGAGUUUUAUUCCUAAAUAAACCUUUGCCUGUGACUUGUUUGGCUGCUCCUGCAGACAUUUUUUCUGUAACAUAUGCCAAGAACCCCACCUGAGUUGAAUUCUCCUUCUCCUCUGGGAACUCCUUGGACCCUUCCCCAGAGUCAUCUAUCUGUUCAUUGUGACAAUUUGAUACAUUACUUAGCAAUGUAUUUUUUUAUUGUACUAACUGAAUACUGUCUUAGAUGUUUUGGUGAGUAGCCUAGAAUUCUUUGAAAUUUAUCUUUUAAGUAUUGUUCAUCAGCAAAUAGAAUUUCAGCAUAUAAAAUGAGAAAGAGAUGGGGAAAAAAAGAAGAAGAAAAACAAGUUUGAUAUCAUAAUGCACCAAAGUCAAGAACACUGAUACCAUUUUAGGAACCAGCAACAUUUAAUGAGUGAAACAAACAGCAGGGUGUUAGAUAAAUGAAGGCAGACAAGCGGGAAAAAAGACUUGAUCAAAGAAUAAAAUAUAGGACCAUGAUCAAAGAAAAUAACCUUGUAAAGAAAACAAUAGUUGAUUUGCUACCGUGACACCAGAAGGUAAGGAAUUUAUUCAAAAAAUUGAGUCAAGUUGUAGAACCAGAUCUAUAUUUUAUGAAUAUGUAUCUUCCAGUAAAUAUUCUUUGUUAUUUCACACAAAUUGAAAAUGGAGUGUCCAAUAAAUAACACUCUUUUCACUUCUUAUGUAAAGCGAUGCCCUUAAAGAAACAAAAAAGAUAGUUGGCUUGUUUUUAUUUACACUUAUAAAUAAUAUAGACAGAAGCUACAUUUCAAGAUAGAAGAAAAUUCAAAGGAAUACUUGUGAUGUCGGCUUUAUAUAAUUGCACUAAGUAGUCUUAAUGAUUUCAAAACUCUUAAAUUACCCCCAAAUUACCCAAUUUGAGAAAUGUACUGAAAAUCGGUAUUUCUCCUAAGAGGGUUUUACAGAUCUGGCUAAUGGAUCUUAUUGAAAAUGUCUGAUUUAUGUCAUGGCAAUUUGGGGAGAGGGGCACUUUUAGAAAUCAUUAUACAUUUUUAUUGGUGCCAAAUUCUAUACCCAGUUUAACUUUGGUAACCUCUCUACUUAUUUCUAUUCUAUUGCUUCUAAAGUAAUUUGUAUGGAUUUAGCAUUAAUACUGACUUUGGGGGAAACUAAAAAACAUUAGUAUAUGAUGUCAUUCAACUGUUCAUUAAAUAGCAAAAUGGUGUAUCCUGAAAAAUGAGAAAGAUGGUUAGACAUCUUUCUUUAUAAAAUGGUGUUUGUGCAUUUGGCUGAUUCAUAGUAGAUGUUUGUACCUAAUCUUAGUGCUUUCUCAUUAUACAAAACUAACAGUUAAAGUGCAAAAGCAAUUUAGAAAUUAGUUUAACGGGCUUAAUUAUGCAAGUUAGAUUUUCUUGUUUGGGUUUCAGACUUUAAUUCUGCAUUGUCAUAGCUCCCUACUUAACGGCAUUUUGUUUUGACCUGUAUUGCUAGCACUGAAUCCAUACCCUGCAUCUACCAGACAAUCUGAAAAUAUUUCUGAAAUAAAUGCAUAGAGUUUUUUUUUUUUUGACUGGAUAAUCAUAUUUUUCACCAAUGUAUACAUGCAAUGUGUGCUUUCUCUUUCCACAUAUACACAUAUGUGGUGUAUAAAGGGAAUCAUAGUUCAUUCUGCAGAGAUGUGAUCCCAGAAAUGCAUUGUUAGGUAAUUAUGUCAUUGCAUGGACACUGUAAAGUAUACUUAUUCAAAUCUAGAUAGUGUAGACUACUACAUACCUGGGCUAUAGGUAUAACCUGAUGCUUCCAUACUACAAACCUGUACAGCAUGCUACUCUACUGAAUACUGUAGGGAACCAGUAAAGCAGUGGUACUUGUGUAUAUAAAUAUGGAAAAGUUGCUGCAAAAAAUGUUAUAAAAGAUAUAAAAUUGUUACAUCAGCAUCUCCACAUAUACAUGACCAACUCAUUGCACAACAUUAGGUGGCUGUGAAUCAUGAGGCCUUUAGGAAUUUUUCAUCCCCAUUGGUAUCUAGUGGGAACAUAAUCAUAUAAGUAAAAGCAUCAUUAUGUGACCCACGGUUGUGUGCACUGUAGAAUUAAUAUAAGAUAUAUAACUAUAUAGAUAUAUAAUAAUUAAUCAUUAGUUUUAUGAUUAAAACACUAUUCUUAAGUCUUUAAUUUUAUUAGUUCAUUAACUUCAACCAUAUUCCCUUGCUUUGUUUUAUUUCUAUAUCCUUCUCUCUCUCUCUCUCUCUCUGUCUCUCUGUCUUUCUCUUUUAAGGUAUCUGAGACAAAGGUGUUAAAUAAACUGCCCAAAAGUUGUACUGUUGCUAACGAGAAUGAUGAGAUUCAGACAGAUUAUUUCAUACAAAUCUACUUCUCUAAACAUUCCAACAAAAUGAGAUAUUUAUAUUUAAAGACAAUAUUAUUGUUAUUUCUGAAUUAUUAGGUAGUUGUCCUAUUUAUUUCAUUUUAUCACACAAAUGCUACCAUAUUCACAAAUAAGCAUGAGAUAUAUGCAUAGCUAAUAAAGACCUAGACUUUGUGGGAGUGCGUAGGAACUUUCAUAAGUGGAUGUGGGCAUGUCUUGUUCUUCUUGCUCAGAAACUAGCAGGGGCUAAUUCCGGGUUUAAGUGGGACUAGGGAAAGAAAAAAAAGGAGAUCGUGGGAGAAAGAAGGAAGGACAGAGGAAGAGAUAGGGUCUGUGAGAAAGGGUGUAUUUUUCCAAACUGAAGAGAUUGAUAGCCAGGAAUUGUCAUUUCUAGUUCUUUACAAUCCCAGUAUGUUUGUGACAAUGAAAUGCAAAAAUCUAUGCAGAGACAUUCUUUGUUACAGACAACAUUUACAAUCUGUUUAUUCUUUUGCAAUUGUCCAAAUGAUCUGUCCUGAAAUAACUGAUAUUGCAUUCUUAUUGUUAUCAUUUAAAUAAGAGAAUUGAUACAGAUAAAUGGAUGGAGAGGCCGCAUACCUCUGGGCUGGAGCCAGGACUUUCUACCUGGUCUUCUGCUUUCAAAAUCUAUAACCUUCACUGUGGUAUAUAUUUAAACUCACUUAAACCCAUGACUUAAUAAUAAAUAAUUAACUACUGGUUCUUAAAUAUCUAGCUUUUCACCAAACUUGGGUCUAAUGUCUGAAAAACUUUUCAAUAAAACUUGAAAUCUCUAACCUUUUCUAUACUCACUGGACAUAUCUGAGUUUCAUAAACCAAUGUGGUUAAUCUCUCUAUGAAAAUCCCUUAUGAUGUGUUGUCAGAAUUUCUUCCCACUUAUAGUAUCAGUUCAAACAGCUUUUCAGAGAUAACUGUAAUUCUGAGAAAAGCUUAAGUCCUUUAUGGCUAAUCCUGCACGUGGUACCACCAUUCAGUUUAUUUUUAGCAUCUUUCUGUUCAAGUGACUGUCUCACUCUGACAUCUACAGUGGCUUCCAGCUGCAUCUGUCCUCCCAAAGGGACCCUGAGGGGAAAUCAGGAAUGAGUACAGGGCUUGAAUGAGUUUUUUUUUCAAAGUCUUCCUCCAAAUGAAGCUCCCACAUUACAUUUUUGGGGAACUCUUGACUUUAGUCUAGUGAUAAGCAUUGACAUUUGGAGGUAAUAAAACCUCCGUGGUAAGUCAUUUCUUAUUUUUGGUAGAGCUGCACAAUCUCAAAUAUUCAUGCAGUAAAUUAUUUUAUGUGCAAUUUCCAUUUUCAGGGAAAGGCAGUUUGAACUGAAAUUUAACAUUUGCUGCAUCAGCCACGCUGGUGUUGUGUAUGCACACAAGCAUCGAUUCAAUUAUACAUUUUUAUCAUUUCAUUCAGAAAUCAUAAAUUUAGCUCUUGUUAUAUAUGAGAUGUUGGAUUCUAGGAAUGUAUGAUGUGAAAAGUAGCCUUUAGUUUUUCAUCUUCUAUGGUCUUGGAGAGGGAAUUCUGUGAGCAAUUGAAAGUGCCUUAUUUUUCACAAAACCACUUCUGUUCAAUUUUUCAAUUUUUAAAAAUUUAUUGCCUAAUUUCUUGGGAUUUUCCCACUUCAUUUUCACCACGGAGUCUCAAAUAUUCUACAGUCUAAGGAAAUAAGAAAAUGAAGGAAAUAAAGAGAGAGGAGACGCUGCUCAACAAUAGCACAGUUUUAAAACCUGUGGGGGGGGGGCCCAGUGGGGACUGAGUCCUAUCUUCCACUUCCAGGCUGGGGUAGAUAUAGCAGAAUGAAGGAGGGGGGAAUUAGGCCACUGCUAGGGGCUUGUCAGGGAAGGGUCCUUGUGGUGUCACCUUUAUAAGAAACUAGGUGUUUUCAGGAUGUCAGUCUCAGAUUAUAAUUUCUUUCCUUAUGAUGAUGGGGUGUUUGGGGUUUCUUUGCAUGAUGAUGGAGUAUUGUCUGGUGUUUAGGUCAGACUAUGACCUUGAGGUGACUCUGGGUCUAAGAUGGAACAUAUAUUUUCAAAAUGGCAUUGCCUGUGUCAAAGUUAAACCUAACAUGAAGUAUUUUCUCAAAUGUUCAUUAAUUUCAGGUUUCAUACCAGAAACCAUGUGGCAUUAUUUUGAUCAUUGUGAUUGCAAAUGUUAUUAUGUAAUAUUUCUUAACUGGUGUUUUUGGUAACACUAUUAUUAAUUCUGCUAUUGGGCUUUCUGGUUAUUUUUCUCCUUUUUUUUGUUUUGAAGCUGCUGGGUUGAUCAGAUUUUAAAAAGACAUAUAUAAUUCAUAAUUAGUGAAAAUUUUACUCUCUACUUCGAAAAUUAUUUCUUUUCUGAUUUUAUUUAAGAUUACAUCUAGAAUGCAGUUUAAUAACCAAGAUGGUAUAAUCCAUUUUCAUCUUGAUGCUUAAGCUUAGUGUGAUUGCUUCCAAUCUAAUAUUUUACUAUAUUAAUAAUGCUUAUGUUUUCAGCAUCUCUUCUUCUAACAUCCGUUUUUUAUUAUGUUAAGGAAAGUUAAUAUUACUUGAUUAAUAGCUUCCUGUAGGUAUGGAUUUUGAAUUUAAAAAUAUUCUUUGAGUGCCAAAAACAGAAAAGAAGCCUUUUUAACAAAUGGUGCUAGGAAAACUGGUUAUCUACAUGAAGAAGAAUGAGACUAGCCACUUAUCUCUUACCCUCCACAAAAGUCACCUCAAAAUGAAUCAAAGAUCUACAUUAGAACAGAAUCUCUGCAACUCCUAGAAGUAAACAUAGGGUCAGCACUCUAACAUACAGGGACCAGGGAGGAAGGAGGGGAAUUUCAAUGCGAAAGAGAGGACAGGGGAGGAAGUGCGAGAGAGUGAUAAUUGCCAAAUUAUAUUUUUUAUAUUGUGUGCCUGUACAAAUAUGUAGCAACAAUACCAUCAUUCUGAACAGUUUUAUUUAUUUAUCUAUUUAAGGUUUUUGGAGGAUUGAACCCAGGGAUAUUCAACUACUGAGCCCCAUCCCCAAUUUUUAAAAUUUAUUUAUUUAUUUUGAGUCAGGAUCUCACUAAGUUGCUAGGGCCUCGCUAAGUUGCUGAGUCUGGCCUUGAACUUACAUCCUUCUGUCUCAGCCUCCCAAAUUGCUGGAUUACAAGUGUCAUCCACCAUGCCUGGCUCAUUAUGUACAAUUUUAAUGCACAAAUUAAAAAAAAUAUGGAAAAUAUCUGUAUUUCUUCAAAUGAUUUAUUAUUAUUGAUUCAUUCUUAGGAAGGAUUAUAAUAAUUAGUUUUCUAAUGUUAAGUUACUCCUAAAUGUAUGUAGGUCAGGUAAAGGCUCAAACUGGGUAGAAAGGAAGGGUUUAACAACUAGACUAUCCACUGUGGUCAGGAUCAGGAAAGAGACAAGAGGUCGCCUUGUACCAUGGACUAGUAAAGUUUGUUAUCCCAUGGUGGAAGGGCAAGGGGAAAGGGAAGAAGAUGGCAACCCAGAAGACUGCUUAACAAGGUGUGUGACCCCUAUGAGAAAGAUGCAGCCAACCAACAGUCACUUUGCAGGAAGGGAAUCCAUGGAAGAAAUUCCCACCCUCUGUUUCUCCCCAUGUGACCUCAAGUCAGAGAGCAGGGAAGUCUAUUGAUUGUGUUUUUGAGGGUCUGACUUCCAGGGCUCACAAUGAGAUAGAGCAAGAAUUAGAAUGAGGAUACAAAAGACAUAUCUCCCUUUUUCUAAACAGAGUUUUAGUAAACUGGUAUACUCCAGGUCUUGCACUAUGAAUGAUCAUUUCAAUAUGUAAAAAGUAUUCAAAACAAUGGAAUUGAAACUUCAUUAAGAAUCAUAAAUCUGGCUUGGUGGUGGACGCUUGUCACCCAAUGGCUCAGGAGCCUGAAGCAGGAGGAUUACAAAUUCAAAGCCAGUGUCAGCAACAGCGAGGCACUAAGCAACUCAGUGAGAACCUGUCUCUAAAGAAAAUACAAAAUAGGGCUGAGGAUGGGGCUCAAGGGUUGAGUGCCCCUGAGUUUAAUCCCCAGUACCAAACAACAACAACAACAAAAGUUAGGGGGAGUAACUGAACUUAAUAAAGGUAUAAAUGUGGCUUGAGCUUGGUGUGCAAGGGAAGACUGAUUUAGGAUGAGGAUAGAGAAGAAAUCAGUAGGCAUUGAGUAGGCAUCAUUUAGAUGUUAGGUUUAUUUUAAGUACAAUGGCCAUUACAGGGUUUUAUGUAAAGAAGCAUUAUAAUGAUAUCAUCUGAAUAAUUUAUUCCUUAAAAAUUAUAGAUAAAAAUCCUGUGCCAGAUGAUUAUUAUAGGUAACAUGUAUGUAGGUAAGCAGGGGACUGAACCUAGGGCCCUAUGCAGGCUAAGCACAUUCUCUACCACCCAACUACUCCCCAUCCUCUUUUCCCAGAGGAUAUGGUGAGUGUGUAUGGUUAGUAGUUGGGGAUAGUUUCUUAACUAUGUUUUUGUUUUCUUAUUUCAAGAUAUCAUCUUUCCAGUUUAUAGUUUUCUAAAUGAGGAAUGCAAAUUAUUUUUAAAUACAUAUAUUUUUAGUUGUAGGUGGACACCAUACCUUUAUUUUAUUUUUAUGUGGUGCUGAGGAUCAAACCAGUGCCUCACACAGGCCAGGCAAACACUCUACUACUAAGCCACAGCCACAGCCCCAUGAGGAAUGAAUUUGAGAUGCAAUUUUUAACUCUGAACAAGAAUAUAGUGUGUUGAGAUAGUUUUGAAAUGCCUUCUGUAUUUGUAUUUUGGCAACUUAUUUUUGUAUAUUUAUACUUAUUUUCUUGACAUAUUUACUAGAAAAUGUUCUACCUUAUUGAUGGUUAAUUUCCUGAGGAGCAACAAUGUUAUUAUAUCCAAUCCGUGUGUUUAUUUUCUACUGCUUUAUGUUUGUAGUUGUAAUGAGUCGUCACUUUCCUGUGCUUUGUUCCAUUUAUAAAAGGGUAUUGCCUUUACUGUGUUUUGAGCGUAACUCAUAAAUAUCUAAUUUAUUAUUAUUUUAGCCUAGUAACCAUAUCUUUUAAAUAUACGAAUUUGUUAUGAGCACCUUAUUGAUAGGCAUUUCUUAUUUUUGGCAUGCAGUUACAAAAAAUUAACACUUGUUAGCCAUAUGGAAUAGAAAUUCUAGGUUUCUAUAGACCUAUGAUAUAUGAUUACAAGAGUAGAUUUUUACUUUUUUAAAGUUUUUAUUCCUAUCUUUCAUCUAAAUAUAUUUAAUUCAAUGAAAUAUUUUUUCAAAUAUAAUUUCACAUUUUAAAAAUAAUGAUUUUUUCUCUAUGACUUCAUAUAAAAUCACUUGGAAUAUAUUUCAAAAAUUUGCAAAUCAGAUUGUGACGUUUAAUAUGAAUACCUCCUGAUUUAAUUUAGUUUGCUUUUCAUCCUGAAUUGAAUUGGCUAUUUUCAAAAACCAGUUGACUAUAUACAUGUUGGUCUAUUCUGGACUCUUUUUAUAUGCCUAUUUUCACACUGAUAAUUCAUUGUCUUAUCUAUUGUAUUUUUAUUAUAAGGCUUGGUACCAGCUAGUAUAAGCUAUCCAGAUUGUGUUUUCUUUUCAAGAAUGUAUAAGCUAUUCUUAAUUCUUAAAUAUAUUCACAUAUGUUGUAGAAUAAUUUCUUUAAUUUCUAUAAAACACAUGCUGGUAUUUUGUCUGGAAUUCUGAAUCCAUAGAUGAAUUUGUGAGGAAUUAUCACAUUAAAAAUAUUAAAACUCUUGUCCAUUAACAUAGUAUAUGUCUCCAUUUACUUAAUGUUCUUCAUUUUUAUGUUAUAUUUCAUGUGUGUUUUAUUUUUCCUCAUGGAAAAACCUUAUACAACUCUGGUUAAGCUCAUUGAUUAGUUUUUCAUAAUUUUAAGUUAAUUUGUUGUUGACGUCAGCCCAAAUUAUUAUCACCAAAAAAUUGAUGAGGCUUAUGGGUAUGAGUAUAGAGGUUAUCAUCUAAUUAUCUAUAAAUACAUCCAAUGUUUUUUUUAAUUCUACUAAGCAAUUAAUUUGUCCAGUGAAAUAUAAACCCCAGAGCAACUUUUAAUGGAAUCCAGAGUGACCAAUUGUUGAGAAAUCAAGAUUAGGUCCUUUCCUAAUAGAGUAACUAAGAACAGAGUAGGGUCGAAGAGCAUGAGAAGAAGAUUAACAUUAAACAGGGAUGAGAGGUGGGAGGGAAAGGGAGAGAGAAGGGAAAUUGCAUGGAAAUGGAAGGAGACCCUCAGAGUUAUACAAAAGUACAUACAAGAGGNGGUAAAAAUGGGAGCUCAUAACCCACUUGAAUCAAAGUGUGAAAUAUGAUAUAUCAAGAACUAUGUAAUGUUUUGAACAGCCAACAAUAAAAAAUUAAAAAAAAAAGAGUCAGAUUUGGGGAUCAAGUACAGUUCAUGUCUACAAGCUUAGGGGUACUAUAAGAUGUCCAAAAAAAGCAUGAUAGCAUAGUGGUCAUGAAGACAAAGACUCAUAACUUGAGUUUUCAAAAUCUUUCAUAAAAGACUGCAUGGAAUUUUAAAUUGUGUUUUUAAGUGCAUUAUUCCAUUCAAAAGAAGCAUUUUGAAAAUAAGAUAAUAAAAAUGAGUCUUCUAGUUUUCUUUCCAAAGUGCCCUAUGAGCCCCUUCAAUUUGUGAAUUCAAGUGCUUUUCUUCUUGUGCAAUAUUUUCUUUAAAUUUUAUUGCAGUUCGAUUGUUUUGCUUUUCUUUUUCAGAGACAACAAUGACACACAUAUUGAGCCUACAUUUUAUGUUGUCCAUUCCCAAUAUAUUCUCUGUGAACUUUUGUACUAUUUUGUUUCAUUCAUUUUUCUCUCAUUUGCUGUUUUCAACCUUUCUUCCAUUUUCCUUAUUAAAUUUUUAUGAGUCUCUCCAUCGCAUAAUUUGGAAAGUACCAGUCACUCCAUAAUUUAGAUUUUGCUGCUGGUUUAACUUUGUUUUCCUUCCAUUGUGUCUGAGUUCAACCAAUUCUUCAUUUUGCUCUGCCUUUUAAAAAUCCAUUAAUAUUCCAGAACAGUUUCUUUUUUAAAUACAAGUAUGGUCAAAUAUUUGCUUUUGUGGCAAUUCUGUUUGGAGUGUUUACUUACAGCUUUUUUUUUUUUUUUUUUGGCUUAAGAGGUAUUUUUUUUAAUAUAUAUAUUUUUAUUUUCUAUUUCCUGGAGGAAUUUUUCUCAGUUGAUCUCUUUGGAUUUCUCUUUUCCUUUUUAUGUUUAAUUUUGACAAUCUCUCUGUAUGGACUUGUUAAUCUCCCCCUUAUUCACAUAUUUGACAUUUUGAGGUUUUUACCAAAAUUCCUAGUUAAAUAUCACCCACUUCUGUCUGUGCUGCAAAGGCCAGAUGCUGGAGUGGAUUUGUUUGUUCUGUUGGUAGGGGGUCGAGUAGUGGUUCCUCCAAUGUUAUGUCUUUGUUUUGCGGGAACCUAAAUUUUCUUUUUUUACCAGUUCAUUUCCAAAGGACACUGGUUCUUUUCAUUUGAAUUAUUUUAUUUCUCAGAAUUUUGUAUGUUUUAUUUAAACCAAUGUUGUUUUCAUGAAAUCUCAUACUUAGGCCCACAAUAAACAGGCCAUCACAGAGACAGAAACUACCACCAGACAGACCCAUGCACUGGAAAUAGUAUAAAACAUUCAAUGUUUCUUUCUAGUUACUUAUCAUUCAUUACUGAGUAUGCUUUGGGUAGAAAUCCAGGUAUUAAUUCCCCUUUUUUUGCUGGUCAUAAAGAUCUUCUUUUUAUCUGAUCCAAUAUCUCUAUCUCAACUCCUGUGUAUCAAUUAAAAUCCUUCUGCUUAUUCCAUUUUUGUCACCAAAUAUAUUUACUUUUAUUAUUUUCUCAGAUGGGGUCAGAAGGAAAUGGGAAUAAUAUGACAGAAGAAAUAAUUUUUAAGUAUUAAUCUUCCUUAAAAUACCCAUUCUGCAGAGAUCCAUAUUCUCUAAAUGUUCUUUGAAAUUUACCAAAUUACCUAAGCUUUUUCAUAUUAUUUGUAUAUCUUACAAUUUUAAGAACCUAUUUGAUAAUCUCAGUGGGGGGUUAACACUAAUACACUGUUUGCAGAGAUGGAGACAAUACUUAACACCAAUAAACCUUUUUUUCAUGUAAUGCUGGAAAAGCAGAGAAAUACUUAAACUUUUAAUUGCAUCAAUUUGUACUUUAUACAAAGCUCCCCCUGUGAUAGUGAUUCAUAGUGAUUUGGGGAAACCAAAACUGGAAAUCCUGCACUAAAAGAAAUGUGAGUGAAAAAAUUGGUGUAGACAAAAUCCCUAGUUGGCUUUUAUAUUUUCUAUUAGGAAGCAAUAAAGGAUUGGGCAUCAGGGAACAUGAAUGCAAUCAAUUUCUCUACUUUGUAUAUUCCACAUGCUUCUUUCCUGAUGGGCUCCCCAUAGUGAUCAGUCCAAAAAAAAAAACAACAACAAAAAACAGCAAUUCAGAUGGAAAGAAUCUCUAUACUCAUGACCAGAGAUAGUCAAAAGGUACUGUUGGAGCAUUUGGCUAUGUGCUGAAGCUUGGAUUGGGGAGGAUACCCAUGGCACAGUUGAUAGUAACAGCUCCUGAGAACAGAAGGUAUAUUGAACCCUGAGGCAAGGGCAAAAAGAGGCUGUAAUGAGGAUAUGUAAGACCAUUUUGAGAUCUUGACCAAACUGUUCACCAUUUACUGAUGCACUCAAACAAGUGUGGUUUAAUGUCAUUGUGACAUUGAACCAAGCAAUGAAGAGAAAAAUUUAACAGAAAUUUAACAGACUAUUGGGUCGAGACUGUAUUUCUAAAUCAAGCAUAGAAAUGAAGGGAACCUCAUAUAUCCUAGAGAGAGCUAGUAUUCCCAGACAGUGAGAAAGGCUCACACUUCUACACUCUAUGCAUUUUCUCAUUUCCAAAUUGGAUUGCUUGAGUGAAAUGGUUGAUGGUUUAUCUCAGCCUAAAAGUUAAACACAUACAUAAAAAUUCUGUUACUCAUUUCCAACUUAUAGAUCUCUUGAAAAGUUUUGUCAUCAUUUGCAGAUUAAUUUUUCUCAUCUAAUUAUUUGCAGACAAUAAUCUUUAUGUCCAACUUGUACUUGGCAUUUUCCAAGCAUUUUCACAUGUGUUAUGAUAUGAGAUUGAUCAUGCUGAGUUCAAUCUCUGUUAUAUGAAUAUUCUCAUCAUGGUUUAUCCCUACCUCUUCACAUCACCCCAGCAAACUCUGGUAGUUAUCAGGACAAGAUUUCGCAGGAAUAUGGCAGAGACAUUGAUAAUUGAGUUAAGGGGUCUGUUCAAAUAUGUUUGUCUUCAUAAUCCAUAAAUAAAAACUCUGAUCAUAUGUUUUGAAAACAAAUCCAAGGCUCUUGAUGGCAAAUCUCAUCUCUUUAGGUCAGGAAUUGCUGAUAGGUUUUAUGCUUGGACAGUGUUUGAGGGAUUGAUAGAUUGAACAGAUUGUUGCUUAAAUUAUAACAUCUGACCAAAAAAAUGAGCAUUUACUAUGUGCAGGGAUCUUAUUAAGUACUUUCAACAACACAUCUUUGUUAUAAUUACCCCCAAAAGAAAGAAAAAUCUCCAAUUUAAGAUAAGGCAGCAAAAAAAUGCAUUUAGCAGAAGGAAAAUAUCUUCCUUCCUUGAGAGCAAUACUGAGUUAUUUUCUGUUUAGUGACAUAAGUUUUAGGCACUAUCAGGUUUUCUCUGAAGCCAUUUAUACCUUAAACUCCCGAUGUCACCUUCAGCUUGGAGAAGCAUAAAGGCCUUGCAUCUCACCAUAGCCAAUCUCACUUCCUAAAUUCCCACCUACUAAUGCAGCUUCCUGAACAUUUAUUUUUCUGUCUUAGAUCUGGUUUUCUGAUGCUUUAUUUUUUUUAUUUUUUUAUUUGAGAUAUAUAUAUAUAUAUAUAUAUAUAUAUAUAUAUAUAUAUAUAUAUAUACUUAUCUAUCAUUUGUCUCCCUCUUAUUUCCUCUUGGUUAUCUUAAUUUUUAAUUAACUAUUGUAGGUGUUCACCCAGAAUGCUUUAAACCAGCAUUUUAUACAACUAUAUUCUAUGGAUCAAGGAACAUCUAAAAUAAUAAUAAGUUCUUUAGGAAAAAAAUAUGUUCAUUUUAUUGAGCAGAAUAUUUCCAAAUAUAUUCAAGUUUAAAUCUCCUCACACAUACAAUUUAUUUUUAAUACUGUUCACUUAUAUUCUGAAUAAUAAUUUGUUUAGUAUUUUAUUUUCUGUGCAUAUAUACAAUGUAAUCUGUCUCCAGCAAAUCCCAGACAAUGAAACAUUGAAUUUAUUAGUGAGAUCAAAUAUCCCCUCAAUAGUCACCAAAGGUUCUUUUAAGGUUGGCUGUCUUCCUUUCAGUUUUUAAGAGCAUAUCUACGGUCACACAGUAUCUACCAUUUGGCUCCUUCUGUUCAUCUGGCUGUUUUUGUUCUCAUGACCACUAACUAUUUCCAGGGAGGUUACAUGGUCACCUUUAAGACCUCCUUCAAAAAACCAAUCUAGGACUAAAGAAAGAAGAAUCUAGAAACUCACCUGCAACGGACUGACAGUAUCUCCCGAGGAAACUGCUAAAGAGCAUCCACUGCUCGGUUCCUUGGUCCUUGUAGGAUGACUCUCUUAGAUAAUAGAGAAAUGAAAGUCCAACCAUGUCUACUGUUUGACAUGCCCGAAGAGGACCAAUUAGAAGAGGACUCCCCUUUAGAUUCUUUUCCUGGUAAAAGACUUCAAUACAAGUGACUUUCAACAUAGACUUGAUAGUGACAACUUAAUUAUCAAAUACUCUGGAGAGAGUGCAAUAACGUUAAUGCAACUUGACACAUAAUUAUCAUUUUUCCAAUAGAAUUACCAUGUGGUUAUAGCUCAGUUCUUUUUCUGAUCGAGUAUCUGAAGUGCACCUGUCCCCUCUGUUGUUAGGUUUAUCCUUCUUUCCUAUCCUCAUCCCUAAGUAUAUUUGCUCUCCAACAAUGGCCAAUCAGACACUAGAGAAUAAGUUUCCAGCUGAUAAAAAUCUUAUACCUUUUCUUCCUUGGAAUUUUUUUUGCAGUGAGAAAUAUUCCAAUUCCUAAAGAAUGAUAUAAGCAUGGACAUGAAUAUUUACUAGGUAACUGUUAUGUGUUAGACAAUGAGCUAAAAGUUUUGACCGUGAGAAAUAGUUAUUUUAUCCUCAAAGAUAAGGGAACUCAGGUUCAGAUAAGUUAAAUAAUCUUGCCAUAACCACAAGGUUUGCAUUAAUAUCUGAUAUUUCAAUCCACUCCUGUGCACUACAGUGAAAGCUGUUCUUAACCUUAAUUGUACACUGGAAUCACUUGUGGAGUUCUGUAAAUAGUCAUACUGGAUUCCACAAUCAGAAUCUGGAGUAUGGUCUUGACAUUUAGAUUUCAGCAUUAUUCCCAGGUGUUCUUGAUGCAUCUAGGGUCCACAAUCACUACUGUACAUGACUUUUAUAAAUUGGUAAAUUGCCAAAAAAAUAUGCUUAUUUAUUUUUUAAUCUACAAAUCAAAAGAGAAGUGCAUAACAAAGUGAGGAAAAGUCCUAUUUACCCAAUGGAAAUUGUAUAAACUCCUUUACUUACACAGGGGAAAAUAAGUACAUAGAGAGUGGUAUGUAUAAUUCUGAGAAAGUGAACUGUAGUAAGGGAAAUGUUUUUUUGGAAUUAAGACAGAACUUGGUUUAAACAAUCUCAGGCAAAUCAUUUAUUCCAGAAAACUGUGAAUCUUCAUUUCCCCAUAUUUUCAGUUCAUCUCUAAUACUGUUAGUAUUAACUAAAGAUACCUGACUUCUCUUUAAAAAUAACUCCCUACAAAACAAUCUAAAAUUGAGACUAUUUCAUAGUGAAGUUUCCCUAUGAGCAUACAAAGAAUAAGCGAUAAUUUGCUGUUAGAUAAAGUAGCGUAUAGAUUUGAUUAAAACUGUUUGUUUGUUUGAUUGUUGUUGAUUGUGAACAUGUUUGCUGGUUUUCUUACUGCUGAAUCUGCACAUUUCUGAGAGACAUAAUAGUUUUUACUUGUAUCAGUGGAUUCGUUUAUUUCUCUUUGCAGUUCUGUCAGCUUUUAUCUCACAUAUCCCACCACUCUGUUGUUAGAUGAAAAUACACUAAGGAUUGCUAUAUAUUCUUAGAAUAUGCAAUACCCUCCUUAAUCCCUAACAUGUUUCCUUGCUCAGAAUCCUAUACUAAGAUUAAUAUACCUACUUCCCCUUUCUUUUGAUUCAUUUUAGCAUGGUAUCUUUCUCUCUUUCCUUCUUUUUAAUCUAUAUCUCUUUAUAUUUUUUUUUCUGGAGACAGCAUAUAGUUGCAUCUUAUUUUUUUAAUCAAUUCUGACAAUUGCCAACAUUUCACUGAUGUAUAUAGGCCAUUGAUGUUUGAAGUAAGUACUGAUAUACCUGGAGUAUCAGCUAUCAUACUUGUUGCUGUUAUUCUUUAUGCCUGUUUUUUGACUUUCCAUAUUUUUUCUACUUUUUGCAGUUUUAAUUGUACAUAUUUAUUAUUCUAAAUUUUCAACUUUUUUAGUAUAUCAAUUAUUUCUUUAUUUUCUUUAUUUUUACCUAUAUUAAUUGUUACUUGAGUUUGCAAUAUACAUUCAAAGCUAAUUCAAAUCAGUCUAACUUCAAAUAAUAUAGAUCUUCAAAAUGAAUUAAGAAAAAGAAAAGUACUUUACCCUUUCAUGUUCCUUCUUUGAUGAUCUACCUUUCUUUUUUUAAAUUUUUUUUUUGUAGUUAAAGAUGGACAGAAUGCCUUUACUUUAUUUUUUAAAAUUUUUAUGUGGUGCUGAGGACCAAACCCAGUGCCUCAUGCAUGCUAGGCAAGCGCUCUACCACUGAGCUACAGCCCCAGCCCCUGAUCUACCUUUCUUUAUGUGGAUCCAUGUUUCUAACCUACAUUAUCCUUCUUCUUUGUAAGGAAGUUUUGAAACAGUUUUUUGCAAGCCAGAUCCACUGGCAACAAAUUUCCUCAAUUAUUAAUUUUUCUGAGAUUUUAUUUCUCCCUCACUUUUGAAAAAAUAUUUUCCAUCGGUGUAAAAUUAUAGCUUGUAAUUUUUUUCUCUCCACAUUCUAAGUCACUCCAUUUUCUCUAGCUUGCAUCUUUUAUGAGAAAAAACCUAUUAUGUUUUCUAUCUCUGUUUCUGUACAGAAAUUUGCUUUUUUCUCUUUAGUGACUUUCAUAGUUUGUUUCUUCCUCUGUGACUUCUGAAAUUUCAGUAUGAUAUACCUACAUGUCAGUGCCUAUUGUUUGCUUGUUUGUUUUGCUCUACAUUGGUUCAUCUUGAUGUUCUCCAAGAUUCCUGCUUAUCUGGCACUAAGCUGGUGAAAUCCCAGUCAUUAUUGCUUCAAAUGGUACUUUUGUUUUUCCUCUUCUUGCAUCCCCAUUAUGAAAUUGUUACUUGUCUGUAGUUAACCAACUGUUUGGGAUUUCUAUUAUGCAUUUUUUUCAGUCUUUAAAAAUUCUCUUUGCAGUUCUGAAUGUUUCUAUUGUCAUAUUCUCAAGCUCAUGUAUCCUUUCAUCAGCCAUAUCAAAUAUACUAAUGAGCCCAUCAAAAGCAUUCUUUAUUUCUGUUACAGUGUUUUUGAUUUCUAGCAUUUCUUCUUGAUUCUUAAAAAUUUCUCACUUUGUCCAUCUGUUCUUACAUUCUGCCUGAUUUUGCCAUUAAAACUCUGAGCUUAUUAAUCACAUUUUUUGUUUGUUUGUUUCUGUGUUUGUUUUCUUUGAUUGUCACUUGCUGGUCUGAGCACUGCAGUGUUCUUUCCAUAGCUUUCCUUUGUGUCUGGUACUCAUUUAGUCUCUUCACACUGAUUUUUGUCCUUUCGUAAAUCUUGACAUUUUUUUUUUCUGGAUUUUGUUGUGGUGGUAGUUGUUGACAUGAGACAUUGGUAAAAGGAAGUGCCUAGAAUAGGUCUUUGGUAAUGUAGUGGGAAGGUGGAAUAGAAACUUUCUGUAGUUCUGUAAUUGAGCAUAGGGCUAUGAACUUCAUUAAUUCAUAGUCUGUGAAUUUCAGCAAUGCUUCUCAUUUUUCCUUUCCCUUAGGUAAGUCAGAAUGAAUGAGUGAGCUUUCUAGUUGGGCAUUUCCCUUACCACUGUGGUAUAAGGGUAGCUAGAACUGGAUAUUCCCUUCCUUCACUUUGGUAAGAUCCAGAAAAACUCCGUGAAGUGAAUACUGGUAAGAGUUUUUUGCAGAGCAAGGCUUUGUGAAAAUCAGAAUACUUUGGCAUAUUUCAAAAUAGUUCUUCCCCACCUCCUCUCCAUGAAGGCACAACGGGAUUUUUCUCCAGUAUUCACUAGAAGGACAUAAUAGAUUUCCUGGGGUUAAAACUCAGAGGAGUUCAACAUCUCCCUGUGAAUUGGUCCCCUUGGAGUUUUUAACAGAGUUGCCCAUCUGGAGCUGCGAGCUAUUUCUCAAUCAGGAUUCAUAUUUUUCCUAUUUGGGCAUUGGUUCUCAAAGAGGUUUCUGCUUAGGUAAAUUGUGGUUUUCUGUCUUUGCUUGUCUGUCUCUUCAAUUUUUAGGGCAGUGAUUUGUGCUUUGAUUUUGGUUCCUUGAUCUUGUCAGCCUUUUACUCAGGGUCAGAAUGGAGUAACCCCACAUCUAAGCUCCUCACUUGCCAGACUGGACACAACACCUCUUACACCUCUUAAUUCCUUUUUCAGUAUGUUUUGUCAUUGUUUAAGAAGCAGUAUAGUGAUUACAUCUUGGUUAAGCUUUCAUUUGGUUUGAGUUUUACUGGGUGCUCUUUUAUUUUAUAGGUUUAUGGAUGCUUACAUCAGCUUCUACAAUAAUCCUUCUGGGGAAAUGAUCUUUAUUUCUAGUCACACCAUUAAUUUUGUCUUUAGUUAUUUGAUUUGUAAAAACCUACAGUGCACCGUCUUUGAAUAAAAAUCUUCCCAUGAAGCAGAAUCUCUUUUCCUUCACCUCUCUAUUACAUGCACACUCACACACACACACCACUACCCUUGACCUUAAGCAUGUGAAUUUCAGGAGGAAAGUCACAAAUAAAUAACAAUUGAUUUAAGACUAAGAGACAACAAUAGCCCAAGACAGCAUCAUCUUUUAGCAAGGGGGUAAAAAUGGAGAUGAAUUUUGCAACGGUCAUCCUACUCAGUGGAAUUGACAUGAUGCAAGGGUGUGGAAAUGGAAGUGAGCAAUGCACAUAGUAGGUUUGGGAAUUUGCAAUUAACUGAGCAUUGUCUGAACAUCUGAUACCUUUUGAACAUUGACAGAAUAUUUUGAACCUAGCAUUUCCUUAAUAAAUAUGUAGGAACUUGAAAAUUCCUUCUAGAGCUUCUUGAAUUUAAUCCCAUUUCCAAAUCAUGCCAUGUUCUAUUUUUUGAGGCCCAGCAACAUGAAUGGGGGACACAAGGAGCUCACUGCUGAGUUGGCAGUGGGAUUAGUCCUUCUUCUCAUACAUUAUUUUCCCUGAAAUCAUGAAUUGGACUUGGGCAUGGAAAAUACAGACAGGUCCCAUCUCUUUUUAGAAAUAGAAGAAAAUAUUUUCUGGAAAAUCAACACAGAAAAACAACAGAAUUGCCCUUUUCUGGGGCAGGCAAAUUUAACUCGCAAGAGAUCUCUGUAAAUGUUUCUGUUCCCCAUCAGUAUCCAUGUAAUGAAUGAGUGUAUUCAUUUGACACUAUGGGAAAUGAAAGCCAUCCCCUUCAAUUGUGCAGCAAAGAUAAACAGAGUUAACACGAAAGGGGGGACUUCUGGAGACAGAAACCAGGGGUAGGUGGUCAAGGAAAAUAGUCAACUUUAAACUCAAUUAGCUAUAUUGAACUCAGUUUUAAUAUUGCUAGUUCUACUAUUUUGAUGGUUAUUUCCCUUCUGAUAUAUGUACUACUAUCCUGCAUACUCCAUAGCAAAAUGUGUGUGGAUUGUAAUAAGACACUAGGGGUGUGGACAUCAUGAAGUGCUAAUUCCUGAGCACACACUGUGACUAAUCUUCUUACAUUAGAAUACUAAAGUAGACCUUUAGGCCUGCUAGCCUAUUGGCCCUACAAAAAAGUAAAAAAAAGAAAAAAAAAUAGCCUUGCUAUAACCUACCUGAAGCAUUCUGGUAAUUUCUUAAAUGGAUUCCUUGACUUAUAGAGUUUAGUUUCAAAAACACUCUGCACACUGUUAUCAAGACAAUUUUCAUGAGAUUUAAGACAGAAGAUUUCAGAAUCCUUCAGGGCUUUCCUGGCUCUCAAAGUCAUUUAUCACCCCAUGAUCUCUUUUUGAAAACUAAUACCACUUUUCUCCUUUAUUAUUGGACACCCCGUGUGUUCUCUGGGUCCCCCAUGUACUUCGACAAUUUACCAUUGUUCAUGAAGUUUCUCCCACCUGAAAUUAUCCUUACUCACAUUUCUUUCAAAGUUUACCCCACCAAGCCCACCAGGAGUUCUCAGAUCUCUCUAGUUCAAAUUAAAGUUUCCUCUUUCUUUCCUGAUCUCUCAUUAAAAGUUUAAACCUUUAUGUCUUUAUUGUGGUACUUUGAACAAUACGCUUCAUAUCUCAAUUUAUCUUAGUAGAUGGAGUGUUGCCAGCAGAGAAACUCAUUAUUUUUCUGCGUCUGUUUGGACUUCUGUAACAAAAUACCACAGAUUGGCGGGUACCGAUAAGCAACAGAAACUUAUUUGGGAAGUACAAGAUCAAGGUGCUAGCAGAUUCAUGGUCUCUGAAGCCCUGCUUCCUAGUUCAUAGAUGACUUUGUUUGGGCUGUGUCUUCACAUGGGAAGAGAAAAGAGAGCUCUUUGGGGUCUCUUUUAGAAGCACAAUAAUCCAAUUCAUGUGGACUCCGCCACCAUAACCAAUUACCACCAGAGGCCUCAAGUCUUCAUAACAUUAUUAGGACUUCAACAUAUGAAUUUGGGGAAGGGCACAAACAUUCAGUCUAAAGCACUCCCCAUGUCACUACAACAACCCCAAAUCACAUAGACACAUUUCCUUACUUAUUGUAACAUUGUCAAAUUCUGUGGGUGUGCUUACUUUUUCCUUACAUAUAUUUCCUGAGGAAUUCUUCAAUUAAAUCCUAAAUUGGGGCUCCUCAUUUAACUUGAUUCUCCGUAUCCCAACACAUUGCAACAUGGAGAUUACUCUUUGAUUGUCAUCAGCGGUAUUAAAUGGUUACAAAAUUAAUCCUGGGAAGAUAAUGUAAAAGAACCCACCUGCAUUUUUCCCCCAACCACUCCUAAUUUUGUGGCCUCUUCUUCCUCUCCUGUACUUCUUUAUUUGCUCUGUUCUUUCUUUAUUCUAUCCUUUUUUGUGCUUUAAAAUUUUUUUUCAGUUCUGUACAGUGACUCAACUAUGCUUUAUGAAUUUGUUUUUCAAAAGUGAAAAUCUCCUCCAACACCCCACAAUAUGAAAUAGUUAAAUAUUUUAUUUCUGCAUUACUGUAAUCUUUCAUAUAAUAUGAUCAUUAUUAGUAUUCAUUUGCAAUUAUUAUUUUCAUAAUAAGUAAUUGCAAGCUCUUCCAAUUCCCAGACUGCUAUGUUUCUGUGAGGAGUUUUUAAGACAAGAAAUGUAGAAAAUGACUCUGGAUCAAUCUGAAGGAGUUCUCCAUAUAUAUAUAUAUAUAUAUAUAUAUAUAUAUAUAUAUAUAUAUAUAUAUUGAUUUUUUUCUCUAUCUUUUAACUUUCCUCAAGUAUAAAUUUGAGGGGAAUUUCCUCUUGAUCAUUAUUUUCUGAGGUAUCUAUAUAAUCCAUAGCUCCAAUACCUUAAACAAGAAAUGUCAAUAUGUGCUUGAGGAUGUUUAUCUUUCCUAAAUUCCUCAGGGUGUGCCUCCUCUUUCUACCUCAACUAAAUUUUUUUAUCAAGAAGAAAUACUGGAGGUUUAUAUUUUAGGUGCAGAAAUUUCACAAAAAAUAACAUUUCCCACUGCCCCCAAUGAAGAAAGGCAAAGAAGCACACAUAUCUCCAUGGCUUUUGUGUCAGUUCUGAAUUUUGAGAUAUGUUGGCCUUACACCUAUGUGCCCCAUGCAUAGACAGUACUGUUUGCAAUCUAAGUCAUUAUGUUCUUAAGACAGGGAAUAUUGUGAAGAAAAUCUACUGUAUAGUACAUUGUGGGUACUACAUGAAAUGACGUAUGGUUAGUGCCACACAGGGUGGUGCUCAGUGCGUGUCUUUUUUUAUUUUCUGCUGGAUGCAUUUAAAGAACUUGAGCAGAAGGGGAACAAAUUUUGGCAUCAGACAAUUCUAGUAAGCUCUCUAAGAUUAGGAACCAGGAGAACCCUUAUCUCCAUAUGACUCCAAACACCUAGCAGAUUGGGCCCAGCAAGAAUGUACUUUUUGAAUAAAACCAUGAGGAAAAUAAUAAUUUUAACUGGGAUUAAUCCAGUUUUUAAAUCCAAUAUUUAAAUAUUGGCUCUGUCACUUACCAGCGGUCCAGUUAAGGCCUGGGUUAUUAAAACUUUAAUUUCUUCAUUGUUGAAAUAAGGAUCCUACUACUGUUUUCCUGAAUUUUUACCAUUUUUAAAUGAAAGCACAUGGCAAGUGUUCAAAAUGAAAUGGAUGAUAAAUAAAUGCUUCUGGAAAGAACAGACAGAUGAAUGAAUGGAUGGAGAGAUGGGUAGGUGGAGGGAGGGGUGAACUGGAACAACUGAAACAACAAGUAGAUGAUGAAGUACAUGUGGGUAUAGUCACUUGUCAGCCUUAGCAAUACAACAUUGGAUGACAAUUGUUAGCCUGUAAACAUAACUAUAGGCUAACUUAAAAGUCAAAUCAAGCUGUCCCCAUUCUGCCCAGAUGCCUCAUCCUGAUGCCCUUCCUCUUCCCCCUUCCUGCAAGGGCCCACUCACAUAGAAGCUGACACCCCCACCCUGACCACAAUGCUCACAGAGGUUGACCUACUUUCUGAGAAUGUACAGGAGCUGCCAUUUCCAAGAACUGGUGGCAGUGUCCUUGCUUCUCCUGCCCCUGCCCCUUUGUGGUUCUUGAGGUUUUGAAACGUGCUCUCCACCUGCAAUUGCAAGGGCCCAAACCGUCCCCAAUGCAUUACCUAGAUUCUAACUUAUAAAAGUUUGACUCAGAGGAAAUCUCUCUGUGCAGAGGCAAACUGUCAGGUUCUUCUGACAAUAAACUUGUUUCUGCUUAGCUUUGGUAUGUUCGAGUGAUCAGUCCUGGCCAGUUUCCUUUCAACAAUAAAAUUAUUAUUGUCUUUAAUUUCUGACCUAAUCCCAAAUUUGUUAGUAAAAUUCCUUAUAUCCCUUGCACAUAGAGUUAAAAUGUCAGUUUCCUUCUACCAGCUCACCCCAGUCCUUCACUUACCCACUGGAAGUCACACUUAUAUUCAAAAAGAAAUAAACUUUGAAUGCAAGCAUCAGAUACUUGCUCCCACAGGCACCAAACUGGUGCCUAGGGUUCAUUUUUUAUUCCUGUUCCACUCAGUAGUUGACAUAUUUGUGAAUGAGAAGCAAAAAGAAGGCAAUCAUUGGAUUUGGAAUUAUAUUCCAGCCUCAUGAAUUAGACUUUUAAAAUUCAUAUUCUGUAAGUUAUGAGAAAUUCUAUUUUUUUUACUGAUGGAAGUUUAAUGUCUGGAUUUAUUCUCAGUUUGUUAAAUAAGUCCCUGUUUGCUUUUCUUUUCCUUUGUUCAUAAGUAACAUCAGCCUUAGAUUAUGGUAAAAAUUUGGUGCGCUCCUCUCACAUGUUAAUGUUUGUCUCUGUUUAUCAGCUUUAUCUUAUACAUUCAUUGUUUCUUUCUAUACAAUUACAGAGUCUCUUUUAAAUAGGCUAGAAUACAUUCUAAUGUAUGCCUGUACUGUCCUUUUGUAUGUGUGUAGGUGUAUGCCUAUGGAUGUGGAUGCCUACACUCACAGUUGAAAGAAGCUAUUUCUUUUUUAAAGGGAAGAAACAUUAGCCAGCUCAUGUUCCAGACUAUAUACUGAAUUACUUAACUGACUAAGUUCAUUAGCAUUUCAGUAAUGUAACACUUUAAUUGUGCUAUGAAAUUGCUUUCAUCUUCCUCUCCUCUGUAAUGAGAAAUGCUUCGUCCUAUUGUAAAACUUUUGAAGUGUUGUGCACAAUUCUAGGUCUCUGUGACCCUUUCAAACACUAUAUUUAGCUGGAAAGACUUGCCACACUUUUAAGGAUGACUUCCCAAUUCCUUCACAUACCCGAUUCCAGGCUAAUUUCUCAGCCCAUCACUUUUCAUUCACCAUUUCUAGAUCCUAGCUCCUUGGAGUGUUUCACCCCUCAUCAGCAUGCAUACAUUUGUGUCACGGGAUCUAAAUGUCACACCCUUUAAUAAAAAUUUGUUACAUAUGGAUCUUCAUGAGUCUGACUAUUCAAGUAAUAUCUGUCUCACUCAGGAAGACUGAAAGUUCCACGAGGUCAAGAUCAUUUCUAUAUCUCCUGACUUUUUUUAUGUUCAGGGUCUUGUACUCCUAAUCUAAAUGAAUGAAUAAAUGAAAUAAUAAAUCAAUUUCUAAUUGCAUAUAAUUUUAAGGUUCCUGACUAGCAGAGGGAAUAUAAUUUGACCAUAGGGAUUAUUAGACUCCCAUCCUAGAGCAAAAUAAAUAAAUAAAUAAAUAAUGCAAUAUCUCCAUUACAGUAAGACUAUGAAUAAUGGAGGGUACUUAUGCCAAUACAUAAAUAUAAGUUGAAUUAAAGGUUAUUCUGUUGAUAAUGCCUUAUAGACUCUGGGAAACCUCAAGAAACAAGUCAGAUCCUCUUGUCUUUUCUAGCUCUUUGAUUCUUUUGUAAGGGAAGAACUUGAGGCCGUAGAAGUCAAGCUCACAGAAAUCAGUGACAGAUACACUUGUUCAUCGAAAUGUGACAGCUGACACCCAGGAGUUGCUUUUCCUGCCAUCAGUACUCCUGCCUCCCUUCAGUCUUUAAGACUGUCUCCUUGGUUUAAGUGUCCUCUCUCUUCAAACCUUCCCCUUGUUUGUAGCUGUCAGGCAACUAUCAUAGUCUAGACAAGCUGAGAUCGCUAGCAAAUAAUUUGGUUUUUAUGGCUCUGCUUUUUACCUGGGAAUUGUUUCUUUAUUUCAAGUUGUUUGGGGGAUAUUCCAAUGGUAGACUUUUGUUUUUACGUUAGUUUCACAACUAAAUAAUUGCAUGAGUCUUUUUAACUCCUUGAACUUUAAUCUUCUCAAUUGAGAGAUGAAGACAGUGCGUUCAAUUGAAUAGGCUAUUUAUUAUAAAAAUUGCAUUAGAAAUGAAAUUUAAAUUCAAAUGAAACAAAAAUCAAAAAAUGGAUAAAUAAACCAUGUUUUAUAACUUAGCUCCAAAAAUCUUAUCUUAAACAUCCACUUCUAAUUUAAUAUAAAAAAUUGUGGACAAGAAACUGGGAGAGACAGGGCAAAACAUUAAGGGCAGAAAAAUUCUGUGUAUAGAGAAACAAGGAAGAGAUGACAGUAGUUAAACUUGUAAAUUAUAAUAGUUGAUGAGAAAAAAGGGCAAGGUGUAUUUUUGAUAGAUUGAAAUCAACAGCUUUGAAAAUAAAGUCUGCCUUCUCUUUUUAGAAAAGUCUCCUGAAAUGCAUGAUUUGCACAUGUAUUUAACAGUUAUAAGGAAAAAAGGCUAAUAAAUAAUUUAUUGAGUGAAUUUUAUUCAUCUUAAGACACUGACCUUUCUCUACAAAGAUAACUGUAGUUGCCUCCAGCUACGUGAAUCAGUUGAGUUUUUUUUUUUUUUUUCCAUUAGUGAGAGCAGUUUUGGCAACUCUAUUCAUGAAAUUAGAUGUCAACCAAAUGCUCAAAUAUUUACGAAUUGACAUUUUGUGUCUUUUAAAUAUUCAGCCAUUCUAGGUGCAUCAGUCUUCCCUAGUGUAUAGCUAUUAAGAAUGGGUGGCAAGAAAAGUCACAGAAAUAAAAGGAGGUUUUAUAACACAUGGCUUGAAAUCUUAAUGUGGUGCCUCAGAUCUAUCAAACCAAUGAGCAUCAAAGUUCAGUUUCAGCAUCAGUAUUUUUAUGAUAAUUUUUUUUCUUUUUUUCUAUUUCCUCCUGUGGCUGGGUUAUAGAAGGCUGCAGGUAAUGUUUAUGUUGUAAAAUUGAGGCCAGUAAUUUGAUCCCCCCAUAAAACUCACUCACAAUUACAAUAGCAUUGAAAUGGUACAUAAAUGAGUUCUUCAUAAAGCAGAAAAGAAAAAUGGUACAACAGUUAAGCUUUUUAAUGAUGGGCACUAAAGCAAUGCUGCUGAUUAGAUUCUUUGCUAAUUACCUUCUGUUACUUAGAUUGGAUGUAUUUCAGCAGAAUAGAAACAUCUAUUCAUAAAUAGUUGUUUUCUUGGUAGCAAUAUGAAAACAUUUAAUUCUAAACUUAGAAAUUACUUCUCAGGGUUGCACCGUCCAGUCCUCAGUUUGUCAACAAAAGGAAUCAUGCCCCAUCCAAAACAUGGCCACAUGGCUUCCACCCAGCUGGGGUAUAUAUACUAUAUGGAAGGUGGUAAAAAGAAUGCAAUGGUAAUAUUUGAGCUGAUUAUAAAAAAAAUCCCUGGAAAGUGCCUUCUAAGGAGAGAAUCUGAAAUGUGAAAGCACUGAGGUGAGAUGAGCUAGCGUUGUAAAAUAAAAGAGAAAUUUGUCCAAGAUGGAUUUGAGAGUUAGGCAGGGUCAGCUGGCAAGGGGAAUGUAGGGCCAAGAAAGCUAUCAUAAAAAUUAAGUCAUAAAAAUUAAGUCUUAAAAUCUGCACCAAAUGGAGAAAGGGAUGUAGAGAGUAAGAGUAAAAAUAAAAGCCACAUUAGAAGGUUGUUAGGGACUGAAUGUAUUUCUUCAACAUGUAUAUGAGGAAGCCAUCCACCGACAUGUAACUGUAGUUGGAGACAGAGCCCUUCAGGAGAUAAAAAAGGUUUGAUGAGGGCAUCAAAGUAGAGUCCAAAUCCAAUAGGGCUGUCGUGCAUUUAAGAUAAGUCACAACAGAGGUUAGGAAAAUAUGUACACAGAGGAAAGGACCCAGGAGGAUGAGGAUGCAGAAGUAGCCUUUUGCAAGCCAGGGAGAGAAGCCUCAGCAGAAACCAAUCUCUCUAGCCUCUUGGGCUUGGAUAUCCAGCUUUAAAAACUAUAAAAUAUAAAUUUCUGUGGUUUAAGGCCCUCAGUCUAUGUUUAUGGCAGCCCAAGCAGACUAAUUCAAAGGUUAUCCAGUAACUCUUAUAUGUAAUAAAGGUGGCUUAACUUAUGUUGAUUAAUACCCAGAUGGAGAGACAUAAGCAGGUUUAAGACCAAUAUUCAAGGUCAAACUAUCUGCCUGCUAAUGAACUGGGCAAAGGUUAUAAGGUAAAGAAAAAUGGCAAUCACAGAUCUACAGGUAUAUGGGUGUACCAUUGCCUACUCAGAGACUCAUGGAGGAGGAGUACUGUACAGGGCGAGGCAAUUGAUAUUUCUUUUUAUGUUAUGUUAACUCUGAGAUCCCAUUGGGUAUAUGGUAAAUGAUUCAGAAAUACACAUAUUUGCAAGUUGCUGUCAUCUCUUGCAAAAACACCAGUAUUCUACUGGCUAACUUCCAGUUAUCCAGAAUGUAAGACUUUCACCUUGAACUUAAAAAUGUGUGCGCACGUGCACAUACAAACACAGACAGAGACUCUUGUCACAUUUCGGUUGUAUUAAACUAUGACUACAUUCCAGGAUUGUGUUAUUCCCUGGUGAAACAAAGGACCUAAACUAUAUUAAAAUCUUACAGCCUAGAGGGGUAUAAGGGUAUGGAAUGAGGAACAAGAAAAUAAUUAGAAUAGAAGGUGAGAAGCGUUGUCCUGGCAUUACAUAUGAAUUGGAAUGUGGCAGGGAAAACUAAGCUCCCUUGAAGCUCACGUCCUCAUUCUCAGAACCUGUGAACACAUUAUAUUAUGUGGCAAAAAAAAAAAAAAAAGAAGUAAGAUUGUGGACCAGCUGACCUUACAAUGGGAGUAUAUCCUAGAACAUGAGUUCUUAAUGAAGAAGAGGGAGAAGAAAGGGCCAGGGAGAAGCACCCUGAAAUGUGUUUGGCUGGCUGCUGCUGCCUUUGCAGAUGGAGGUUAGUUGCCAUGAGCUAAAUAAACACCCUUGGCAUCUUGAAGGUAGAAAAAUCAAGGGAGUGGGUUUUCCAUUAGAACCUACAGACAGAACACAGUGCCACAGAUAUCUUGAUUUCCUACCAGUGAGAACAGUGCCAGAUUUCUGACCACCUAGAACUCUAAUCAAUCUGUAUUAAACAACUAAUAUUAUGGUAAUUUGUUUCAUUAUCUCUACAAAAUUAAUACAAACAUCUAAUGCAGACUUCAAGAUCCAGGAGGAAUUUCUUUAGGAAGUAGCACCCAAGUUGAAGACUGAAUGAUGAAUAGAAGUUAUUCUGUCAGGAAAAAAAUGAGGUGGGAGAAGCCCAACCGGUGAUCUCCUUACCGCCAAAAAAGACUUGUAUUGAGGGGCAUAUUGAACAAUCAUAUUUACAUCAUUAUUCAGCAAAUGCACCAAAUAAAUAGUUGAAAACUCACAAUUAUGAUCUCAUUUAGCAAGAUCUUCAAUAUCAAGACUUUAUUACAAAGGCCAUCAUCAUGAAGUUUUAUAAAAGAAAGAUGACUCCUGAUUCCACUUUGAUUAUUCUUCAGAUUAGUUCAAACAGUAUUCAUUUAUGUAAAUGUAUGAAACAAGAUGAAAAGCAAAGACUGCAGUGGCUGGAGAUAUAGCUCAGUUGGUAGAGAGCUUGCCUUGAAUGCAUAUAAGUCCUUGGGUUCAGUCCCCAGCACUACAAAUAAAUAAAUAUUUUUUUUUUUUUAAAAAAAGUAUUGUAGCUAGGUGCAGUGGCAUAUGCCUAUAAUCCCAGCAUCUCUGGAGACUGAGUCAGGAGGAUCCUGAGUUCAAAGCCAGCCUCAGCAAUUUAGUGAGGCCCUGAGCAAUUCAGAGAGACCUCUCUCUAAAUACAAAAAGGCCUGAGGAUGUUGCUCAGUAGUGGAGUAUCCUGGGUUCAAUCUGUGAUAUCCCCCCUCCAUAAAAAAGCAAAGACUACACACAGCUAUGCCAAUAAUGAUGAACUACAACCCCCUAUUCAUGCAUAAGAUGCCUAGAGAACGUUUAUUUUAUGAAGAUAAGCACAUACUUCAGAGUGUACUGCAUGAAUUGGCCUGUGAGAGGUGGACCCCCUGAGGAAUGGAAAAGAGGAUAAGUUCACUGACGAGAAAAGUUGAAGAAGUGAUCUGCAGAGAAACAACCAACUAAACACUUAAUAUAUGAAAUAUUGAAAUGAAAGAAGUGGGGAUGAGAGAAAAUAAUUUAUGGAAAUUUAAACAGAAAAUAAAUCCUCUGGCACAAUGAAAUCCCAUUAUGACACAUUUGUUCAUUUCAGAGUUUCUAAUGUACCAGAAAUUAAAUCAUACAAUUUAAAAUGGAACUUCUUUUAAUGGAAAAUGUGGUCUAAAUGGAGUGUCUUCUCCACUCACACUGGUAUUACAAAGGGAAUACUGUUCUUGUUGAUGCAGCAGUGCACAGAGCACCUGAACUAUGAUAUAGUCUAAUAAAAAAAUGUUUAGCUAUUAAAUGACCAAGAAACUUAAUAAUGUGAUAAGCAUAGAAAAUAUUAAUAUGUGUGUUAAGAAUUAUUAUGAGAGAUCUGCUAUUGUACUCCAUCUUUCUUUAAAAUUCAUGGUAAAUAUUUAUUAUUAAAUAAUACAAUAAUUAACUUUCACAGUGAUUAAAACUUUUUUUUUAAAUCAGGAAAAUCUCCAAAACUAAUAAUGAAGAUGAUUGUUUAUUUUUGUUGUUAGGUACAACUGCCUUGACAAAGCCAUUUUAGGUUUAAGGAAAUAGAGAUAGACUCACAUUAUUAGCUCUUCUGUACCUCUACCUAUGAGAAUUCCUUAAGGUCCUGGGUUUCUCAUGAAGGGAGAACAGGUUAUAGACAAAAACAAAUGCAGUUCCAAUCUCCAGAACCACUCCCAGCCCUCUUAGAAAUCAAUGAUAUUCAUAUCAAAGACUUCCAGUAAACAGUUUAAAUGUGUUCAACACAGGGCUCUAUAAAUAGACUAGACUCUGCAGCUGAUUUUCAUAUAUUACAUAUUCUAUAGCUACUUCUUUUUAUCAUACAUAAAACUGUUGCAGAAACAUGGCCACAAACUUAGAACUGUGAGAAGCUUAAGAAUCUCUGAGAUGUUGGUUCUACCAGGAUAUUAUCAGCUAUUUUAAUCAAUUACCAUCUUCUGGUUGAAUAGUGAUCACUUACAAGUGUUAUUACCAUGGGUCACUUAUGAAUGUCAUGUGAUAGACUCAUAACUUACCUGAAGUGAUAUAAAACCAUGUAUUUCAGUCCUAAUGACCACCCCUUUGUGUAGAUAGAGUCUGUAGUAUAUCCCACUUAUUUUAGCAGUUAACAUGUACCUUCAAGUUAUAGUGUUUACUAAAUGAAUGUUAGGAACAUGAAAAGAAAAUAUCUCAAAUUAUAGAAUAUGAAAUAAAUUUUGAGCAAAGAAGUCAUAAUGUUUGAAAAAAGCAUAGUCAUGUUAUUGAGCUUGCUUGUAAUUGAAAGGACACCAGAUCCUCAAAGCUAGAUGAUUUGACUUAGCAUAAGUCUCUGUGGAUUUAUAAAAUUUAAACUGAAAUCUAGUUGAAAAAAAUGAGCAAUAGGGAUUUGGAGAUGUAUUUUCUUAGUUAGAACAUGCAAACUAUUAGAAGAGGAAGUUAAAUAAAUAGAGUAUGAAUUGAAGGAUGGUGGGAAGGCAAUUAUGAAUAAAUAUUAUUAAUUGUGAUACAAUAGCCAAUGUAUUUUAUGAGGAGCAGAAGAUAGAUCAAGAUGAAUGUCCAUAAAUAUUAUUUAAGCUGAUUGACUUUAUAAUUUUCCAAAGACAUAUUAAAGUGCAUAUGUCAGUUCCUUUGGAAAUAAAGUGCAUAUGAAUUAAACACUUGGUGGAAAGAAACUUUAUCAAAUUAUUAAAUGUAGUUAUCUGCAGUAUUAAUAGUACAAGUAAUCUGAUGACAGCUAAGCCUUUUUUUGAGGGCAUGGUAUAUUUCCCUCCCUCCCUCCCUCUCUUCCUUCCUUCCUUUCAUCUGACUAAUUGUAUAUAAAAUAAAGAUGAUUGUAACACCUGCUACAUGGGGAUAGACUGAGUCAUAAAAUACAGAUACCUAGGAGAUAAGCAAUAUGCUCUAUUAUUUUUAGAGAUGCUAAUACUUUACAAACAUCAUCCAAAUAGUAUGUGAAGGAGCCAUUUUGGACAUGGUCCAAGUUCAAGUUUUUAAAUGUUUUGCUUUAUGGCAUCCUAGAGUUCAAAUAUGGUAAAUUCAAUAAGUGGCAGGGUCGAUUGGCAUCACCUUGGACAAGGAGAGCAUUUUAGCUGCUGUGCUGUCUCACUAAGGAACCUUCUACCUUGGUAAAAUCACGUAACUUUUCUGUGAUUCAAAGUCUUAUUUCAAAAAAGAACCUAGAAAAAAAAUGUUUGGAGGUUAACUCCUGGUACAUGAAUAGAAACUGACCACAUUAUAUCAUUCUGAAGGACUACACAGUUUUAUUCUUUGAAUAGUUGUUUUGUAGGUACCUAGGCAGAAAAUCUGUAGCCCAAACACACCGUCCUUACCUAACUCAAGUAUUUGGUGUCUCACUGUCUCAAGCAGCAUAGAAGCUAAGAACAUGAACGUGUGCUUGACUUUUAAACCUGUUCUUUACAUCUUCAAAAGAGCAAUAGAACAAACAAAAUGUUUCCUUCACAGUAAAAAUUGCCUUUUCUGUGUAAAUUAAAAUAAACACUAAAUCAUACACACUCAGGGACACAAAUAAUCCAACUGAAUUCAAGUCAAAAUUAAUUAAAUUUCAAACUAAGACACUGCAGUUAUUAAGUUCACAUUAGGCAUAUUUGAAAGCAAAAAAUAGAAUAUUGGAUUAUGAAUACUUUAAGAUUAACAUUACCUCUAUCUUUUAUGAACUGUCAGAAUAUAAUAAAUUGAAUCUCCUUGUCUACUAUGAUUUAUAUUUCUAUAUAUUGAAAAUAUAUAUGUAUAUAUGUAUACAUAUAUUCUCCCCAGAAAAAGUCCUGAAAAUUUAGUGUUCCUAACUCCAUUUUGUAAAGAAGGAAGCAGGAGUAGAAUGUGUCCUUUCAAUUUAUCUUUCUUUCUCCUUUUUCCUACCUUCCUUCCUUGUUCUUUUGUAAGGACUAUAUUAUUUCCCCAGCAUUGCAAUAGUAAGCCCUGAAGACAAAUGCUAGACUGUUAGUGAAGGGAUCUGGAUUCCAAACAGCCCAAUUUGUAAAAAUUCAAGUGGCCUGCACCAUUCACUACACCUCGUUAGAGUCAUUCUGACCUCUCAUCCUUCUGAAUAUAAAUCAAACAGUUGUUACUACCUGCCUUGGACUUUUUCACCUUAUCUGAGAAUUACAUGUAAAGUGUGUUGGAAAGGAAAUUAUCUGAGGCGAAAUGAAAAUAGAUAUGUAAAUUCCAUUUCCUAUCACAUCCAAUACUGCAUCAAAGGGAUAUAGCUUUUCAUGUGCUCAUUCCCAAAGAUAUAUCAAGCAACAACCAGGCAUUUUGAGAGAGCUGUGAAUAAACAGAGAAUGCAAUGUUACUGCCACAGGAGCUGACAGUGUAAGGAGAAAAAUAAAUAAAAGCAAAUUGUCAGAAUUAGUAUGAAAGCUCUUAAAAAGCAGAUGUGGUAAAGAGUAAAGCUGCAUGUAUAGGGCCACAGAAUGAGUCAUCCAAAAUGUAUCUAAAGAGAUGACUUUUGAACUGGGCAGUAAUUAAUGAGAAGCUACCUAUGAAAAGAGAUAGUAAUAGGAUGUUUAAAGCAGAGAAAGAAGCACAUACAAAAUCUCUGAAUGCCAAAAGUUUCCAAGAUUCCAAAUCGGUGUGGAGGAGAAAUGUCCCCAAGUGACCCUUCUUCUUGGUAUUGAUAUUCCUGGUUAAACCCCACCUUUUGAGUGUAAGUGUGAGCUGUGGUUUUCUUCUCAUCAAUGGAAAAGCUGCAAGUGUGACCAAAUGCAUCUUCAGUGAUAACACUUGAUUAAAAUGUAUCUCUGUCUUGGUAGCAGACAGUUGCCCUUGUUUACCUUGAUGAAGAAAGAGGUCAUAUUGGGGAGGCUCUUCUGAUGGUAAACUGGGGAUUUACAGCCAAACAGAAAUUGCGAAUGGUCCCUGGCCAGCAACCAGUGAGAACCUGAAUCCAUUAGUCUUGGAUGCAGGUUUCCUCUUUGGUCCAGCUUUCAUAUGAGACCCCAGUUUUUGCCAGACUGUUGAUUGCAAGCUUGUGGCACACCCUGAAGCACAGAAUCCAGCUAAUCCCAGUCUUAAUUCCUAGCCCACAGGAACAUUGAAAUAAUAAAUGACAGUUGCCUUAGAGCACUAAUUUUAUGGUAAUACUGUUAGAAAUCGAGAGAUAACUGAUGGGUUAGCUUUGGCUGGAAUGUUCUGAAAGGGAUUCAGGUGGAAUGAGGUGAAGACGGAGACAUCAACCUGGGCUUGGUUUUAGAGUGUACUUUGAUCUCUGAAUAGGAGUUUUACUUAUUCUCAAUGCAGUGGACCACUAUCAAAGGAUGUAAGACUGGCCACCUGAUCUGAUCAGCCCUUUUAGAAGAUCACUGUGAUCACUGUAUGAUGAACAUUGGUUAAAGAUAUAAAAAUUAUAAAACCAGUAAUUCACGACAGGGACAAGUGCUCUGAGAGGUCCGAUGGUCAAAUUAGCUUUGCUAAGGAAGAACUGAACUCACCUUUGAAAUUCUCACAGAAUGUGGAUGGGCCAAAAAGGAGUAGGGGAGGGCUAUGAUCCCCAAAGACACUGGAAUGAGUCAGACAUAACUUUCCUAUGUUCAUAUAUGAAUAUAUAAUCAGUGAAAUUCCACAUCAUAUUCAACCACAAGAAUGGGAUCUUAAUUAGAAUAAGUUAUACUCCAUGCCUAUAUAAUAUGUCAAAAUAUGUCAAUAUACAUCAUGUAUAUCUAAAAAGAACAAAAAAAAUAUCUGAGUAACUCUUGAUGUGGGAAUGAAUGAGCAUUACAGAGAGACCAAGGUCAUGUGUGACUAUAGCAAAGCAUCCACAUCAAGAAGUAAAGUUGAUCUGGAUUAAGAAGUAUUUUACUUUCACCAUCAUCUGAGGAAAAAAUCAACAACCUUAGACUUUGACAGUCUGAUUCUCAGACUGAAAUAUUCAUAAGUAUUAAUAAUUAGCCUCCUGUGGAAGCCCUUCCAACUGCAGCAAUGCGAUCAAGGUAAUUUUUUUAUCAUUCACUCACAGAAAGAAAAUACUGACUCUAUUAAAGAAAUACAUUUGUUGAGAAAACAGAUUACGUGCAUCAUAUGAAAUAUCCUGAUGGAGUGAAUCACAUCAGAACACUGGAUUUGCUGUAAACAUAUGAACAAUAGAAGAUAAAAUAUAAUGGUCUUUAAUUUUUUACCAUUUCAGUGUAUUGGGAAAUCAAACUGUAGGCAUUUUAUUUAUUUAUAUUUGGUAAUGAGGAUUGAACCCACAGGGGCUUUACCAAUGAGCCACAUCCUCAGCCCUUUUAAUAUUUUAUUUAGAUAGGGUCUUUCUCUGUUGUUUCAGGUCUUGCUAAGUUGAUGAGGUUGGCUUUGAACUUGUGAUCCUCCUGCCUCAGCCUCCCAAGGUUCUGGGAUUAUAGGGGUGCACUACCAUGCCCAGCUGAGCAUCUUCCGUCUACACUGGGUGCAGAAAUAGAAGAAUGAAGAAGCCAGUAGAAAAUGCAUAGAAGUAAACAUUUGAGAACCUGAAUGAAGAAAUGCCUCACAUUGUACUGUAAUCAAAAAAGAAAAAAAAAAGAAUUUAAACAAACUAAAAUAAUUGCCUCCGCAUGUUUGCAUUCUUCUUUGUGGAAGGUAAAAAACUCCUGCAACUAUCUUCUGUUUAGACAGAAAGCACAUCAAGCCUCAUCAUAGGUUUCUGAGAAACAAUGUUUACAAAAUAUGUCAACCUCAUGAAACUAGGACAGUUCUUCAUUAACACUCAGGUUUUUGACAGUUUCUGCUCUUGAGAGAACCAAGUCCAGGCAUGAAAGGUGG
rnacentral:lncRNA from 1 species